rnacentral:lncRNA from 1 species
AAUGUGGCCCCAGGAUAAGUUAUCAUUGCAUGUAGGAUUAGGAAUAAGAUGUGCACCAUGUACGCACCCAGCAGCGAUUGCUCCCGUCCCGUGCAUGACAGGGGCCAGGAGAGGCAUCUACUAGUGUGUUCCCGCUAUUGUAUGCCGUGAAUUAGCAGUACUAAUAAGGUUAUUUGAAUUGUGACCUCAUCGAAUCCUAAUUAGGUUAAGAAAGAGUGGGCAUCUACAUGCAUUCCAGGACAGUCAUACUGUACCGUAUCAUUUGGAGCAUGCCAUACAAAACAAAACAAUCACAUCAAGACAUGUGAACCGAGCAGCAUUGUAAGAUCAGGACCAGCCCACAUCAGAUCCUGUGUUUGGGGCCAGUGUCGACUGGCUAACGAGCUUCUUGUCCACACAUUUACAAGACUGAAGGGGCAUAUAGACAGAACUACGUAAGUGGAGAAUGGGUAUACGUGGAUCUGCCCCUUGGAAUCACUACUUACAAGAGCACUCCUAGCAGCAUCCCAUGUGAGCCAAACUGAGUCCAACCAAGCAAUACAUGAGACCAAACGCUAAUAAUACUGAUUGCCAUGCUUGCAUGACUUUUCAACCAGAGUGAAGCGGGGGAGCAGAGUUUACUUUGCUUACUUCCCCGUAAUCGAGCAUCACAUAGUGUCUUCUGCAGCCAGCGCGUCUCCGUGCAGCAGCUUUGGCUGUCGUCAAUUGGCAUCGACAGAAAAUUGUAAAGAGCUGUGACGCUUCAUAUACUCGGAGCUACCUCGACAACACAAAGUAUAACAACAUCUGGCAAAAUUUGAGAAGAGCAUGUCUUCGUCACCGGGAGAUGCAGCUCUCAGUUGCACCCUGGCUGACUGAUCAGAGCAAUCAAAUUAAGACCAAGAUGUGAAAAGUAUAAGAAAGAAGCUGCACUGUCAAGUGAGUUACCGGUGGAGGAUGGCUCAAAAUAUGGUCGGGUUGUUAUGAAAGAGGGGUCCUGAGCAUCAGCCUCCAACUUAUGUAUCGUGUUGCUCUCGACAAGCUUUACUAAUUUGUCUGUUAUGACUUUCAUCGGCGGGCGGGAAUCCGGUGACUGCUGCAUUGAAGGAAGAAAUAACAUAAGUAUUGCUCGAAACAUGGAUGCACGGGUGCGGUCACUUAAUAGAUUAUGUAAUACUCGAGCUGUCAGUUGUCCGAUGCACCAUGUAAUAUCUUUUGUUUCUAUUUCCUUUUUUCUUUUGGGGUGCUGUUUGGCACAUGCUUGGUAACUUUGUAAAUAUUUAAGGCUCUGUGCAUCAAUUUUUUAUGAAGAGUCCAGGAGACAAUAAAGCUCUUCCUUUAACUAAAGGAGGGAGUACUGCUCGUAGAAAAUUGUCCUGAAAUACAGUUGGUGAAUGCAGUGAGCAUUAGACAUUGUAGUGGCUCUAGACAUUUCAGCUAUAAUGCCUUUCGUUUCUAUUAACAUGUUCUAAGCAUUUACCAUAGCAGCAUGGGCAGUAUUUGAGUUUUCACCUUGAUAGCUGCCAGCAAGGAUAAGAAACUACAGAACAAAAUGUACCAGAAAGGAGGACGGAAAACUACCUUGAUGCAAAGCAAGAUGAUGUUGCCUAAUGCAGAAAUAGCUUUAGGUGGCAUAGAGCCACGUAUUCUUGGAUCAGUUAUUCUUCCCAGAGAAUUAAGGUCAUGGAGAUGAGGAGAUGCCCAAUCAACUAGAAACUGAUCAUUCGGCCCUCUUGAACUGAAGAAGACAAUAAUCCUUCAGUAAACCAGACUGCUAGUAGCACAAGUGCAAGUGAUAACAUACCUGUCAAAAGCCUUUUGCCCAGUCAAAAGCACAAGCAAUAUCACGCCAAAACUGUAAAUAUCAGCUUUGAUUAUAUCUGUUCCUGAACCAUUAGCCUCAGGAGCAGCAUAGCCUUUAGCACCACUGAGGGCUUCCGAAUCCUGCUUCCCAAAUGAGGAAAUGUUAAAUGGCCAACAAAUCAAUUUUAUUUUAUAUAGUGCAGUAUAUCAUUCAAACUGGAUAAAUCAGAUGCUGCGGCCUAUUGUGUAUAUUUGGAUGGGCAGGACAUGGGUAGAUUAACGGGUUUCAAUUGGUUAGAGGGGAAUCUCUCCUAUGCAAAUAUCACCCCAAAACCUCAGAAUUACCACAUGUUACAUAUAGAGUGUUCGGUAAUCUAGCUUGACACUCAAUGAGAAAAAUUCUAAUCGGAGAGAAAGAGAGGUAGAGCAGUUCUAUGUUUUAGGUUCUAAUGCAUCCAUCCCUGCCUCAAAUUUGAAUCCCAGAUCAUUCAAGUGUCCUCAAAAUGAUCAGGUAAAUUAAUGGCAUCAGCAUGCUUUCUUCAAAAGAUCAUAAAGUAGCAAUACUAUCCGUGGUUACCAAGCACUGACCAUUCUUGUGGCGCUGACAAAAUGGCUGAACUUCGCUAACCCACAGUGACUGAGGUAGGGCAUGAGCUGAGCGUCAAGUAAAAUAUUUGUAGCUUUAAUAUUUCCAUGGGCAAAUGGAGGGGAGCACAUCAAAUGUAUGUAUCUGCAGAGAGCUAACAUAGAUAUAAAAAUCUAGAAAUUCCAAUUCCAGUAUAAAAGUCUAAUAAUUUUGCAUGCGUGCAACUAAACUACGAAAAAUAAUACGAGGUGGGUGUAAUUAAUUACUCUGCAGCAUAAAAUAAAACUGAUUAGACGAUUUGGUGGGAACGCAAUGAGACAGAAUGUACUUACUCUAGAGCAUAGGUAACUCCUAGAGCAAUCUUCAUCCGAGCUUUCCAUGACAAAGCCCUCGACCUUGUGGCUGCUGAAAACAGAAGAUCUUCAAGAGAACCAUUUUCUGCAUACUCAUAUAAAAGUACACAAUGCCCAAACUCCACACAGUAGCCCACAAGCGAAGAUAUAUUAGGGUGCUUUAAUCUGGACAUAUUCCCAAGAAUGUCCAUGAGCUCAUCUUGUUCUGACAAUGAUAAAUCUAUCAUGUUGAUCUUCUUGAUAGCCAGCAGCUGUGCAUACAAUGAGAAAUGCAUGACGUAAAAUAUACAUAACAAAUGACUUGUACAAAUUUGAUACCUUCGCUACUUGGGAAAAUGAGUAUCUAAUAAACCGCUGAAAGAAAAUCACAGUUUUAAAAGUGACAUGUGAGACUAAGAAUGGUGUGCUCCUUGUACAUUGACCUUAUCAAGACAACAAGCAUAAGCAUAGCUACGGUCCUCAAUACUGCAUGACGAGAUGUCUUGUCGAUGAGGAAAGGAAAGGGUUCAAUUUAGUUUAGUCAAUAAAACCAGAUAAAGAAGUCAACUCUUGGGAAUCUAAGAUACAAGCUACAGAAAUUAGACUUGAGAGCUUAUUCUAGAAUAACACAUUAAUAAUAUGCUGAUAAUGAUACGUUUCUUAUGAUAAGAGACGAUACCUGGCCAUCAGGAAAAUCACCUCUGUAAACUCGGCCAGUGAAACCUUCACCGAUAAGGCAUUCUUCAUUGAAGUUCCGGGUAGCCGCCAUAAUGUCAACUGCCAGAAACUGUUUUGCAGGUGCAAGAUUUUUAGAUGUCUUAGCACAACUUUUCCUUUUGGGAACUCUUCCAGGUAUAAUGCUAUCAUUAUUGCUAGAGGAAGUAUCAUGGCCAUUCAUAAGAGAACUCCAAGAGUUCAGGACCUCAUUUGCUUUAGGGACUGCAAUUGACAAAUGAAUUUUAAUUAAAUGGAAGAAUGCAAGUCUGGCCUAAUAAAACAUUACAAUGCAGUAUGCGAAGUUGAAAACGAUAUGUAUGUGGAUGAAUUUGAUAUGCCAUUUCAUGAAUAAGCAUUCAAAAGUACAAGGGUUUAGGAUCAAUGAUUACUGUCAUAGUUUACAGUAGAUUAAUGAUAAUAAUAACUGAAACAAACAGAAAUAUUUGCAUGAUCAAUUGACAAUCAACUACCACUGCAUAAAUUGGUUUGAAGAAACUAAUAAAGUGCCAGUGCUACCUCCUUCCAAAUUGGCUGGUAAAGACUUGAUAUUGUCAGCGGUGCUCUUUGGGCCACAUGUACCACCUUUCCGGCUUUUCAGAACCAAUCCAACAAUGAAGAGUGCAAACAUUGUGCAAACAACGCUAGCUAUUGCAGCAGCUGUCACUCGAGAGUGUGACUUCCUAUGGUGGCUAGGACUGUGCAGAGAAGCAUAGCUCACAAAAGGUUGCAGAGGUUUUGGCCCGCGCUUUGAGUUCUGCUUGACUGCUGGUGAAGGUGGAGGUGGAGAUGGAGGUCGAGGAUGAUGUGCGGGUGGAGGUGAAUGAAUGGUCCUAGAAAAUGAGGACGAUGAAGGUUUGAAACCUGGUUGAAAAUGGUUCCCAUCAAUCCUGGAAUAUUAACCAGAAGGUUAAUCACAUAUUGUACUAGAUAUGAAGUCAGACAUACAGAUAUGCACAAGAUCCUCAAGGGUGACAAGGAGGGCAAUAUAUAACAGAGUUCAGCACCUCAACUCAGAAAUGAACUCAAAAGUUCCAGGCACAUAACCGCUGAAGUGAUUAUUCUCAAUGUUGCUGCAAGAAGUUGAUGAUCAUCAGCAUUAAUUGAUAAGAUGGCAAAUAAAGUAUAAGUGCAGCCCAGUCAAAUUUCUUACAGUGCUACCAAUGGAAGGUCUGCUAACAAAAUCACAGAUCCGGUAAACUCAUUAUGCUGUAAAUAACUGCAAAAGCAUGCAAGGAAACUUUUGAUUAGACAAUUCCUACAGCUGUGUGUGCAUGAAAUAGCACAGAAGGGACAUCAUUAUUACAGAUAGUGAAGGUUGUUCAAUGAACUAAAUGAUCGUGGCAGGUCACCAUCGAAAGAGUUGAAUGACAAGUCCCUGAAAACGUCGAGGGAAUAAAUAUGAGUCUAAGUGACAGAAAGGUCAAAAUACUAAAAGAUCUGUGACUAAAAUAAUUUUGAGAAAUAGUGGAUCAGAGCAAGAAAGAUGCAAAAAAAAAGUACUUUAGCUUCAAAAUGUGUCUGUGCAUGUGUUUGUUCCAUUGCGAUUAAAAUAUGUGGUUUUAUUAGCAUAAAAAAUGAGCUGAAAGAUUGUUCUAGAACAGAUCUUUGGACAAAAAGAACUGCAAGAAGUUUAGAACAACUUGAUGCGCACGAAGCAUUUCACUUGACAGUUGCAUACUAUAUCUGAUGAUUCAUUUAGUGGUAUACUGAAUGGAGAUGUUCCAGGUUACAAAUCUAUGCACAAUAGGCUGCAACCAGCAUGUUGCAGGUCAAAGUGCAACGAAAUAACUCAUUUAUUUCACAAGAGAUGUAUGUUUCAGAAGUGAUGAAGUAAUCAUUAAUCAAGAUAUGGGAAUCAUACAUUGUAACUAAGCUUUCCAUGUUAACAAAAACAUCACCAACUAUUCCAGAGAGCUUAUUAUAGCUGAGAUUCCUGCAAUCGAUAUUACAGAUCAAUCAGUUGAUUCUGCAACCAAAUUUUGAGAAGGAAGUGCUCCAAUUGCCAAACAAUCAACUCACAGAUAUUUCAGGGAGUGCAAAUAUGGUAGUGAUGGUGGUAUAUUUCCCUCAAACUUGUUAGCUGCCAAAUUUCUGCAAUAGAACACCAUACCAUAGUCAGAUCAUAUACAUUUCAUAUUUAAAUGUAUUCGACCCAGCUUAAAGAGGGUAGGCAAAAAGGACAAGAAGAAUAUACAAGUAUUCCACAUUUGGAGGCAAAGUGGGUGGGAUUUCACCAGCGAUGUUGUUGAAGCUCACAUCCCUACCAUCAUGAGGCAUCAAAGCACCAGGAACCAAAAAAUUUGUGUCAAAAAUUGCAGAAUCAUGAUCAGUUAACAGAUAGCACAAAUUUUGUAUAAGGAAGCUUACAGCUCUUUUAAAGAGUGGAGUUUGAGCAGCUCUGGGCCAAGCCAGCCACCAACCCCAAGCCCACUAAUAUUUCUGCAUGGAAGUAACAUCAGAAAAAGCAAGAAUAAAACAAAAAUUCCUAUAAAUUUACAGGCAAAACUGAUUGAUAAGUUAAGAAUUGAACAGGGAUUACAUAGCCACGACACACGAGUCCUUGCAAAAGACCCCAUGCCACGAUCCAUGUUCCCCAUCCCUGCCGCAGGGGUCACCACCCAUGGAUGUCCACCCAGAAAGCUGCCAUGGUGAGUCCAGUGCGCGAUAUAGUGCCCAGAUCCCGAUCGCUGCACGGUAACCAAAGAACAGUAACAAAGCAGUAAACCUGUUAGAAAGCAGCAACAUACAGACAGACAGCAGGAUAGCAUCACACACAGCCAUUGCACAAAGGGAACUACUUACAAGCACAAAAACAUGCCCACUCUUUAUUUGCACUACAUAAGUACAUCAUCGAUGCGGUAAGACAAGCUAUUUCCAAGCACUAACACACACAUGUGCCCAUCACGUAACCAUAUCCAAUGAACCCAGAUCUGAAUGUUUAUGCGAGCGCGUAUAGGCACGAGCAGAAGCGCGCGCAAGCCAGAGUUUGCACGCACACACGCGCACCAAUACACCAGCGCGCAAGGCUCGCGCGCUGCUAUACAAACCAGACCACAGGUGUGCGCACGGCACAGAGAACCAGCGACCGCAAUCACACGCGUGCGCAGAGUAGAGGCGUCGUCGCGGGGUAAGCGGUCGAUCGCCACGGGUGAUGGGUGAGAAAUCGUACCGUCGGAGGGAUCAGUGAAGGACGCGGCGGAGGAAAACGCGGCCCACAGCACCACCGCGGCGAGGAGAUGACGCGCCGCGGCCACUCCGAUGCCACGCGCGCCCCGCAUCCGCGCAGGUUCCAGCGAAGCCGGAGCUAGAGGAUCCUGCCGCACCGUAGCCAAGCGGCAUAGGAUGUUCUAGAAGCUUCAGGGGAUCCGGGCGCGACGCCGCUCAAUCGAACUCCUCGCCCAAAUCCGCGACGAUUCCCCGCGGGGUCGCGGCCGGACCGAGCAAUGCGGGCGCGAAUCGGAGAAUCCGGGCGACCGGAGCGGGCAGGAAUCGCCCGCAGAGGCCCGCGAAGCUGCGGGGAUUUGCUCGCUUCGGUGGCGAGGGUUUAGGGUUUUGAAAUGGACAGGAGGCUUCUGUGCUUUGGGAGGGAAGAGGAAGGAUGAAGAGGGAGAGAGAGAGGAGGAAGAGAACAGAGGCGGUCAGGUCACGUGACGGGCGCGUGAGCGGUAGGCCGUUAAGGGGUGGGGCGUGGAGGGGUUUGAGGCGGUGGAAUUGGGCGGGAAGGAGAAGGGUGCAGAAGCGAAAACAGCGUGGGUCCCGCCGUCCCGGUCUACACAAAACCGUGGCCAUAUCUUUCGUUAUUCACUUAAAUUGCAUAACAGCAAUUUUAGCAGUGUUGUCAUAUGUUUUUCAAAACAGAAAAAACAAAGUGUCAUAUCGACUCGAUUGUUGUAAUAACAGAUAAUACGAUAAAAUUAAUUGAAAAGGUCAUGAUAGAGUCGCCAUUUCAUCCUUGAAACUCAAUAUUUAACGGUUGUGGGGGUGUAUUUGGAGCUCACUCCAUCUGAAAAAGGGAUUGACGCGAAAGACAUUUCCCCUCCGUGUUGAUUUUCCAGCCCGCAUUGCCGCUUCUUCUUUGUUGUAGCCUCGUCGUUGAAUGCUUCAUGCCGUCCUCGGUCACCGCCAACGACACCAUGGCCGCCUCCUCGACCUGAGCGUCUGAUCCCAUCGUUUCAAAGUCGGAUCCGGAGACUUCAACGGUCGUGUCUCCUACGCCUCCUGCAUUUUCGACGAUCGACCUCGAUCCUGUCAACGAAUAGUUCGGACCGGAGGUGCCUAUGUGGCCACCUGGAGGCAGCAGCCUCCCUCCGUUAGGGCCACAAUGCUCUCAGCGAAGGGGCAUGGGAAGAAGAAAGGGAGGGGGAACGAUGGUGCCUUUGCCCCUCCUUGCUUCCUCCCUGCAGCUGGCAAAACAAGGGUGGAUUCCCAGUCGCACACCGGAUCAACAACGACAAUGAGGUGAAAAAAGCCAUCAUUUACCUUGUAUUUUUAGGUUUUCAUUCGAUCGAAUGCGAGGUGAUGAUGACCCACAAGUAUAGGGGAUCAAUCGUAGUCCUUUUGAUAAGUAAGAGUGUCGAACCCAACGAGGAGCGAAGGAAAUGACAAGUGGUUUUCAGCAAGGUAUUUUCUGCAAGCACUGAAAUUAUCAGUAACAGGUAGUUUGAUAGCAAGAUAAUUUGUAACGGACAAGUAACAGUAACGGUAAGUAAAGUGCAGCAAGGUAGACCAAUCCUUUUAUGGCAAAGGACAGGCCAAAACGGUCUCUUAUAAUAAGCAAAUCGUUCUUGAGGGUACACGGGAAUUUUAUCUAGUCACUUUCAUCAUGUUGGUUUGAUUCGUGUUCGCUAUUUUGAUAAUUUGAUAUGUGGGUGGCCGGUGCUUCGGUGUUGUUCUUACUUGAACAAACCUCCGACUUAUGAUUAACCCCCUCGCAAGCAUCCGCAACUACAAGAAAAGUAUUAAGAUAAAAUCUAACCAUAGCAUUAAACAUUUGGAUCCAAAUCGGUCUCUUAUGAAGUAGCGCAUAAACUAGGGUUUAAGCUUCUGUCACUCUAGCAACCCAUCAUCUAAUAACUACUCAACAUUGCGUUCCCUUAGGCCCAAAUAUGGUGAAGUGUCAUGUAGUCGACAUUCACAUGACACCACUAAGGGAAUCACAACAUACAUAUCAUCAAAAUAUCGAACACAUAUCAAGUUCACAUGAUUACUUGCAACAAGAUUUCUCUUGUGACCUCAAGAACAAAAGUAACUACUCACAAAUGAUAAUCAUGCUCAAGAUCAUAGGGGUAUUAAAUAGCAUAAUGGAUCUGAACAUAUAAUCUUCCACCAAAUAAACCGUAUAGUAAUCAACACUACUAGUCACCCACAAGUACCAAUCUGAGGUUCCGGUACAAAGAUUGGACACAAGAGAUGAACUAGGUUUUGAGAGGAGAUGGUGUUGUUGAAGAUGUUGAUGGAGAUUGGCCUCCCAAAGAUGAGAGGGUUGUUGGUGAUGACGAUGGCUUCGAUUUCCCACUCUGGGAGGGAAGUUCCCGCGGCAGAAUCGCUCCACUGGAGGGCAAAAGUGCUCCUGCCCAAGUUCCGCCUCGAGACGGCGGCACUCUGAUAUGUCUCCAUCGUAUCUACUUUUCCAAACACUUUUUCCCUUGUUUUGGACUCUAACUUGCAUGAUUUGAAUGGAACUAACCCGGACUGACGUUGUUUUCAGCAGAAUUGCCAUGGUGUUAUUUUUGUGUAGAAAUAAAAGUUCUCGGAAUGACCUGAAACUUCACAGAGAAUAUUUUUUGAAUUGAUAAAAAAUAUUGGCGAAAGAAUCAAGGCCAGGGAGCCCACACCCUAUCCACGAGGGUGGGGGCGCGCCCCCUGCCUCGUGGGCCCCCUGGGGCUCCACCGACCUCCACUCCAACUAUAUAUAUUCACGUUCGGGGAGAAAAAAAUCAAAGAGAAGGAUUCAUCACGUUUUACGAUACGGAGCCACUGCCAAGCCCUAAACUCUCUCGGGAGGGCUGAUCUGGAGUCUGUUCGGGGCUCCGGAGAGGGGAAUCCGUCGCCGUCGUCAUCAUCAACCUUCCUCCAUCACCAAUUUCAUGAUGCUCACCGCCGUGCGUGAGUAAUUCCAUCGUAGACUUGCUGGACGGUGAUGGGUUGGAUGAGAUUUACCAUGUAAUCGAGUUAGUUUUGUUAGGGUUUGAUCCCUAGUAUCCAUUAUGUUCAGAGAUUGAUGUUGCUAUGACUUUUCUAUGCUUAAUGCUUGUCACUAGGGCCCGAGUGCCAUGAUUUCAGAUCUGAACCUAUUAUGUUUUCAUGAAUAUAUGUGAGUUCUUGAUCCUAUCUUGCAAGUCUAUAGUCACCUACUAUGUGUUAUGAUCCGGCAACCCCGAAGUGACAAUAAUCGGGACCACUCCCGGUGAUGACCGUAGUUUGAGGAGUUCAUGUAUUCACUAAGUGUUAAUGCUUUGGUCCGGUACUCUAUUAAAAGGAGGCCUUAAUAUCCCUUAGUUUCCAAUAGGACCCCGCUGCCACGGGAGGGUAGGACAAAAGAUGUCAUGCAAGUUCUUUUUCAUAAGCACAUAUGACUAUAUUCGGAAUACAUGCCUACAUUACAUUGAUGAAUUGGAGCUAGUUCUGUGUCACCCUAUGUUAUAACUAUUGCAUGAGGAAUCGCAUCCGGCAUAAUUCUCCAUCACCGAUCCAAUGCCUACGAGCUUUUCACAUAUUGAUCUUUGCUUAGUUACUUCUCCGUUGCCACUGUUACAAUUACUACAAAACUGCUAUUGUUACUUUUGCCACCGUUACCGCUACUUCCAUACUACUUUGCUACUAAAUACUUUGCUACAGAUAUUAAGUUAUCCAGGUGUGGUUGAAUUGACAACUUAGCUGCUAAUACUUGAGAAUAUUCUUUGGCUCCCCUUGUGUCGAAUCAAUAAAUUUGGGUUGAAUACUCUACCCUCGAAAAGUGUUGUGAUCCCCUAUACUUGUGGGUUAUCAAGACUAUUUUUUGGUGCCGUUGCCGGGGACCAUAGCUCUAUUCUUUGAGUCACUUGGGAUUUAUAUCUGCUGAUCACUAUGAGGAACUUGAAAGACGAGAAAACCAAAAUUUAUCCCUCAACCACGAGGGGAGGUAAGGAAUUGCCAUCUAGCUCUGCACUUGAUUCUCCUUCUGUUUUGAGUAAACUUGCGACACCUAAACCUGCUUCUGCUAUUAAUUCUGAUAUGUCGCAUGUUAUUGAUGAUGCCACUUCUGCUAUGCAUGAUACUUAUGAUGAAACUACUUCUAUGCUUGAUACUACUAUGCCACUAGGUGAAUUUCUUGAUGAACAACUUGCUAGGGCUAGAGAGAAUGAAAUUAUUGAAACUGAUAAUAUUGAUGAAAGUGAUGAUGAAGAUUCUCCCCCUAGAUAUGAAUUGCCUGUUGUACCUGAGGGUUAUGUUAUGGAUGAAGAAACUGCUAGAGAUUUUCUUGCUUGCAAUGAUAGAUAUGAUCUUAAGAAAUUAUUAGCUAAGCUGAAAGAAAAAUCUUUGAAUGCUAGAAUGAAAUAUGACCCUGUUUUUGCUACUUCACCUAUCUAUAUUUCCGAUAAGGAUUAUGAUUUCUCUGUCGAUCCUGAGAUAAUUACUUUGGUUGAAUCUGAUCCUUUCUAUGGCUAUGAAUCUGAAACUGUUGUGGCACAUCUUACUAAAUUUAAUGAUAUAGCCACCCUGUUCACUAAUGAUGAGAAAACUCGCUACUACUAUAUCCUUAAGUUAUUUCCGUUCUCAUUGAAGGGUGAUGCUAAAGUAUGGUUUAAUUCUCUUGAUCCUGGUUGUGUGCGUAGUCCCCAGGAUAUGAUUUAUUACUUCUCUGCUAAAUAUUCCUCCGCUCAUAAGAAACAAGUUGCUUUAAGGGAAAUAUAUAAUUUUGUGCAAAUUGAAGAAGAGAGUCUCCCACAAGCUUGGGGGAGGCUUCUCCAAUUACUUAAUGCUUUGCCUGAUCAUCCUCUCAAGAAAAAUGAAAUACUUGAUAUCUUUUAUAAUGGACUAACCGAUGCUUCCAGAGACCACCUAGAUAGUUGUGCUGGUUGUGUUUUCAGGGAAAGAACAGUUGAUCAAGCUGAAUUGCUAUUGAAUAAUAUGUUGACUAAUGAAAAUAAUUGGACACUUCCUGAACCAACUCCUAAGCCAACUCCGAAGAAAAGGGGUAUUCUAUUUCUCAGUCCUGAAGAUAUGCAAGAGGCAAAGAAAUCUAUGAAAGGAAAGGGUAUUAAAGCUGAAGAUGUUAAGAAUUUACCACCUAUUGAAGAAAUACAUGGUCUUGAUAACCCGACACAGGUAGUAAAGGUAAAUUCUCUUUAUAGAUUUGAUGAAGGUGAUAUUCCUCGUUAUAAGUCUGCUAGCCAAUGCUUAGAUGAGUUUGAUAAUUUUAUUGUUAAACAAGAAAACUUCAAUGCUUAUGUUGGUAGACAAUUGAAACGUAAUGCUUAUAUGAUUAAACACUUGAGUGAUUGUAUGUCUAGAGUUAAAGGUGAACUUAAACUCAUUAGUAAACAUGCUUCUAUGGUUACCACUCAAGUAGAACAAGUGCUUAAAGCUCAGAAUGAUUUGCUCAAUGAAUUAAAUAAUAAGAAAAAGGAUAAUGUUGUUAGAGUUAUGACUAGAGGGGGUAAAAUGACUCAGGAACCUUUGUAUCCUAAGGGCCACCCUAAGAGAAUUGAGUAGGAUUCUCAGAGAACUAAUGUUGAUGCACCUAGUCCUUCUAAAAAGAAGAAAAAGAAAAAUGAUAGGACUUUGCAUGCUUCUAGUAAACAUGUUGUUGACACACCUGAGAAUCCCAAUGAUAUUGCUAUCUCUGAUGCGGAAACACAAUCUGGUAAUGAACAUGAACCUAGUGAUAAUAUUAAAGAUGAUGUUCAUGUUGAUGCUCAACCUAGUAAUGAGAAUGAUGUAGAGAUUGAACCUGCUGUUGAUCUUGAUAACCCACAAUCAAAGAAUCAACGUUAUGAUAAGAGAGACUUCGUUGCUAGGAAGCACGGUAAAGAAAGAGAACCAUGGGUUCAGAAACCCAUGCCUUUUCCUCCCAAACCAUCCAAGAAAAAGGAUGAUGAGGAUUUUGAGCGCUUUGCUUAAAUGAUUAGACAUAUCUUCUUGCGUAUGCGUUUUACUGAUAUGCUUAAAAUGAAUCCUUAUGCUAAGUACAUGAAAGAUAUUGUCACAAAUAAAAGAAAGAUACCGGAAGCUGAAAUUUCCACCAUGCUUGCUAAUUAUACUUUUAAGGGUGGAAUACCUAAGAAACUAGGAGAUCCAGGAGUACCAACUAUACCAUGCUCCAUUAAAAGAAACUAUGUUAGAACUGCUUUAUGUGAUCUUGGAGCCGGUGUUAGUGUUAUGCCUCUCCCUUUAUAUCGUAGACUUAAUUUGAAUAAGUUGACACCUACUGAAAUAUCUUUGCAAAUGGCCGAUAAAUCAACCGCUAUACCUGUCGGUAUUUGUGAGGAUGUGCCUGUUGUAGUUGCAAACGUUACUAUUCUAACGGACUUUGUUAUUCUUGAUAUUCCCGAGUUCGAUAGUAUGUCGAUUAUCCUUGGUAGACCCUUUUUGAAUACUGCAGGGGCUGUUAUUGAUUGCAACAAAGGCAAUGUCACUUUUCAUGUUAAUGAUAAUGAGCAUACGGUACACUUUUCGAGGAAACAACCUCAAGUCCACAGUAUCAAUUCUAUUGGAAAAUUUUCAACUAUUACUAUUGGAGGUUUUGAAUUUCCUCUUCCCACUGUCAAGAAGAGAUAUGAUAUUCUUAUUGUUGGGGAUGUGCAUAUCCCUAUUGAGGUAACCUAGUGUUAUUCGAAAUUUCUCCGGUUCCAUGUUAUUCGAAAAGAGUUUGUUAAUAAGACUUGAUCAACCUUGUUAGUGGAUUCCUUUUGAUGAGCAUGAGAUGGAUGAAGUUAGAAAGCACAACUCCCUGUACCCUCCUUUUCUUUCUGUUAUUUAGAAUAAAUAAAGCAAAAAUAGUAUUUUCUGUCUGUUUUCUGAAUUAUCGUUGCAAUAAAAAAUACCCCGAAAAUAAAAGUUCUCCAAAUGCCCUGAAAAUGAAAUAUGAUUUUUUCUAGAAUAUUUGAGAAUAGUUGGCACUGAGAACACAUCAGGGGGAGCAAGCACCUGGCCACGAGGGUCCAGGGUGCGCCCACCCCCUAGGCGCGCCCCUGCCUCGUGGGCCCCUAGUGGCCCCCUCCACUUAUUCCUGCACCCACACACUCCUUCCUCCCAAAAAAUCACCAACCAGCUCAAGCACGAGUUCUAGCUCAUCUUGCUGCGAUUUUCAAUCUCCUUGCUCAAAGCUCCACUCACAAAACUGCUUUGGGGGAUUGUUCGUCGGUAUGUGACUCCUCCAAUGGUCCAAUUAGUUUUUAUUCUAGUGCUUUAUUCAUUACAAAUUUUUGCUGCCUAGGUGACCCUGUUCUUGAGCUUGCAUGUCAAAUUUAUAUGGUCCCAAGUAGUUCUAAUGCAUGAUAUAGUCUCUAGGCACUUGUGGGAGUAGUUGCUAUCAAUUUUGUUGAGUUUGGUUCACUUUUAUUUGGAGUUACUAAAAUUUUCAGAAAUUUUUCAGAGGAAGAAAUAUGUUUAGGAAAAUGUACCACAGUGGUUCUUCAAGGAAGGAAGGACCCAGGCCCGCAAUACGUGAGCCGGACCAUGAACUACCAAGAGAAGCUCAAGUGCGGCCUUGUGAAUGGUCGUCAGAAGAUUUCAUGGUCCAAGCAGGAAUUAAGAGGGAAUUUGACGCAUAUGUGCGUAAUGCUGAACUUGAGGGCUUCAUGCUAGAUAAGUGCCCUCAGUAUUAUCACCUAACCGAUUCCUUUGUGAGAAGGUUCAAAUUUACAUCUUCACGCAAUUCUCACACUGUCCUAUUUGAUCUCUAUGGUAAAUCUUAUACUAUGGACUUAGAAGAUUUUAAUACUGCUUGUAAACUUCCACAAUGGGGUAGUGCUAGUGAACCUCGCAAAUUUGAGUUUAAAGAUUUUCUUGCUAGUAUCACUGUGGGGGAAUCUAGAGAGAUAACACAAGCUACCAUAGGGAGCAUUCAUUUUCAUGCUACACAUUAUUUUGCUCUCUUUAUAGGUAGAUGCAUAAACGGUAAGGACGAGGCAUGUCACAUGUGUGUCCCUGACCUUAGUGUUCUCAAGAGUGCCGUAUUAGGAGAUAAACAAUAUAACUUGGGGGCCAUUGUUGCACGAAGGUUGCAUAAUAAUGGUUUAAGUGGAGACUUGUUUGGUGGGAUUUAUGCAACCCGUGUGGCUAAUUUUCUUGAGAUACCCAUACAUGAAAAUGAUAUGGAAUUGCCUCCCGCUUAUCUAGAUUAUGAUGCUAUGGUUCACCAUCAGUUUAUUGAGAGGAAUGAACAACCUCUCCAGUACCGACUAAUGUUUGACAGGCGCCGCACUUUCCAUGUUGCUCUCCCUGCUCCUACUUUCUUUGACUUUCAAGCAAAAGGGAGAUAUAUUAUAACCAGGGAGGAGGCAAACGAGUAUAAGAGGAGGAUGGAGGCAGCUCGCCUCCAAGCUGUAGCUCAUGAGGCAAUAGCUGCUGCUUCUCAGUACGACCCCAGCUACAACUUUGGAUAUCCGCCAGGCCAGCCGUGGCCCUAGACCAACUUAGGCCAAAAGCCUAAGCUUGGGGGAGUACGUAUUUCUCACCGACAUUACAUUCAUGUUCACACACUCAUUCUUGUUGUCGGUGAUCAUAUUUUUUCAUUGUACUAUCCAUGCUAGUUAUUUUCUUUUCUAGUCUUCUUCUUGUGUGUUUGAAAAACCUUAAGAAAAAUAAAAAAAUAGUUGUAGCUUUUAGUUAGUUUACUUUCCAUGCCUGUAGUAGUAGUAAUUAAAAGAAAACCCAAAAAGAUUUCUUGUUCUUCUUUUGCUUGUUGGGAGCUUUCCCGUGUAAAUAGUUUUAUUUCUUUUCUUUUCUUUGGGGGUCGAGAGGAGAAGACCAUAAUGAAAAUGUUGUAGUGGCUCUUAUAUGCAUUAUUGUUGAUUUAACAAAGAACCCAUAGCACCUUGUCUUCUCCUUUGUAUCAGAUGCUUGCAGAUUCCAGCUUAGUCAAAUGCACGUGCACUAUUAUUAUUAUAUACACCGUUCGGUCGUGCAAGUGAAAGGCAAUAAUGACGAUAUAUGAUGGACUGAUUGAGUCUCUUGUUUUUGUAAAUAUGAUUAGUUCAUCGUUCCUGAUUCAGCCUAUUAUGAAUGAAACAUGUUUGCAAUGACAAUUAGAGAUUAUAGUUGCUUAUGCCAUGCUUAAUUUGCUAAGAGUUAUAAUGGUUUACCUUGCAUGCCAACAUGCUAUUAAAAUGGUUGUGAUGUGGUAUGAUAGGGUGGGAUCCUCCUUUGAAUGAUUCAAGUGGCUUGACUUGGCACAUGUUCAUGCAUGUAGUUGAAACAAAAUCAACAUAGCCUCCACGAUAUUUAUGUUCAUGGUGGAUUAUAUCCUACUGAUGCUUGCACUCAAUGUUUAUUAAUUUUAAUGCAUGUUCAUGACUGUUGUCGCUCUCUAGUUGGUCGCUUCCCAGUCUCUUUCUAGCCUUCACUUGUACUAAGCGGGAACACUGCUUGUGCAUCCACUUCCAUAAACCCCAAAGUUAUUCCAUAUGAGUCCACCAUACCUUCCUAUAUGCGGUAUCUACCUGUCGUUCCAAGUAAAUUUGUAUGUGCCAAACUCUAAACCUUCAAAUGAAAUUCUAUUUUGCAUGCUCGAAUAGCUCAUGUACCAACUAGGGUUGUCUGUAUCUUCCAUGCUAGGCGGGUUAUUCUCAAGAGGAGUGGACUCCGCUCCUCACUCACAAGAAAAUGGCUAGUCACCGGGAUGCCCAGUCCCAUGCUCUAAGCAAAUCAAAUCGAAAUAAUUGCAAACAAAACUCCCCCAGGGCUGUUGCUAGUUGGAGGCACUCGUUGUUUCGAGCAAGCCAUGGAUUGAUGCUUGUUGGUGGUGGGGGAGUAUAAACUUUACCAUUCUGCUUGGGAACCGCCUAUAAUGUGUGUAGCAUGGAAGAUAUCGAGAUCUCUCCGUUGUUAUGUUGACAAUGAAAGUAUGCCGCUCAAAAUAUUAUUUAUCUCUGCUUUAAAAUCGAGCUCUGGCACCUCUACAAAUCCCUGCUUCCCUCUGCGAAGGGCCUAUCUAUUUAUUUUUAUGUUGAGUCAUCACCCUCUUAUUAAAAAGCACCAGCUGGAGAGCAUCGCUGUCAUUUGCAUCCAUUACUAUUAAUUUAUAUUGGGUAUGACUAUGACUGGAUCUCUUUUACCAUGAAUUACAAUGUUUAGCCAGUCCUUGAUCUUCAGAGGUGCUCUGCAUUUAUGUUUUGCGGUCUCAGAAAGGGCUAGCGGGAUACCAUCUUGUUAUAUCAUAUUAUGAUUGUUUUGAGAAAGUGUUGUCAUCCGAGAUUUAUUAUUAUUGCUCGCUAGUUGAUUAUGCCAUUGAUAUGAGUAAAUAUGAGACCUAAGUGUUAUUGUGAAUAUGGUUAGUUCACAAUCUUCGCUGAAAACUUGAAUGCUGGCUUUACAUAUUUACAACAACAAGAGCAAACAGAUUUUGUAAAAGUUUUUCUUUAUCACUUUCAGUUUGGCAACUGAAUUGCUUGAGGACAAGCAAAGGUUUAAGCUUGGGGGAGUUGAUACGUCUCCAUCGUCUCUACUUUUCCAAACACUUUUGCCCUUGUUUUGGACUCUAACUUGCAUGAUUUGAAUGGAACUAACCCGGACUGACGCUGUUUUCAGCAGAAUUGCCAUGGUGUUAUUUUUGUGCAGAAAUAAAAGUUCUCGGAAUGACCUGAAACUUCACGGAUUUUUUUUGAAUUAAUAAAAAAUACUGGCGAAAGAAUCAAGGCCAAGGGGCCCACACCCUAUCCACGAGGGUGGGGGGCGCGCCCCCUGCCUCGUGGGCCCCCUGGUGCUCCACCGACCUCAAAUCCAACUAUAUAUAUUCACGUUCGGGGAGAAAAAAAUCAGAGAGAAGGAUUCAUUGCGUUUUACGAUACGGAGCCGCCGCCAAGCCCUAAACUCUCUCGGGAGGGCUGAUCUGGAGUCCGUUCGUGGCUCCGGAGAGGGGAAUCCGUCGCCAUCGUCAUCAUCAACCUUCCUCCAUCACCAAUUUCAUGAUGCUCACCGCCGUGCGUGAGUAAUUCCAUCGUAGGCUUGCUGGACGGUGAUGGUUGGAUGAGAUUUACCAUGUAAUUGAGUUAGUUUUGUUAGGGUUUGAUCCCUAGUAUCCAUUAUGUUCUGAGAUUGAUGUUGCUAUGACUUUGCUAUGCUUAAUGCUUGUAACUAGGGCCCGAGUGCCAUGAUUUCAGAUCUGAACCUAUUAUGUUUUCAUGAAUAUAUGUGAGUUCUUGAUUCUAUCUUGCAAGUCUAUAGUCACCUACUAUGUGUUAUGAUCCGGCAACCCCGAAGUGAAAAUAAUCAGGACCACUCACGGUGAUGACCGUAGUUUGAGGAGUUCAUGUAUUCAGUAAGUGUUAAUGCUUUGGUCCGGUACUCUAUUAAAAGGAGGCCUUAAUAUCCCUUAGUUUCCAAUAGGACCCCGCUGCCACGGGAGGGUAGGACAAAAGAUGUCAUGCAAGUUCUUUUUCAUAAGCACAUAUGACUAUAUUCGGAAUACAUGCCUACAUUACAUUGAUGAAUUGGAGCUAGUUCUGUGUCACCCUAUGUUAUAACUAUUGCAUGAGGAAUCGCAUCCGGCAUAAUUCUCCAUCACCGAUCCAAUGCCUACGAGCUUUUCACAUAUUGAUCUUUGCUUAGUUACUUUUCCGUUGCCACUGUUACAAUUACUACAAAACUGCUACUGCUACUUUUGCCAUCGUUACCGCUACUUCCAUACUACUUUGCUACUAAAUACUUUGCUGCAGAUAUUAAGUUAUCCAGGUGUGGUUGAAUUGACAACUUAGCUGCUAAUACUUGAGAAUAUUCUUUGGCUCCCCUUGUGUCGAAUCAAUAAAUUUGGGUUGAAUACUCUACCCUCAAAAACUGUUGUGAUGCCCUAUACUUGUGGGUUAUCACGCUCCAUCCCGAAAGUCCUCUCCUUAUUUUUUCUAAGUCGAAAUGACCUAUAUACCAGAAGAUGGGCACCAGAGGUGGGCUGGGCUAAGCACAACCCACCAGGGCGCGCCUGGGGGCCUGGCGCGCGCUGGUGUCUUGUGCUCACCAGGUGGCCCCCCUCCGGUAGUUAUUUGCUCCAGUAUUUUUCAUAUAUCCCAAAACAAUUCUCCAUAAAUUUUCAGCUCAUUUGGAGAUGUGCGGAAUAGGUAACUCUGACAUAGCUUUUUCAGGUCCAGAAUUCCGGUUGCCGGCAUUCUCCCUCUUUGUGUAAACCUUGCAUAUUAUGAGAGAAAAGGCAUUAGAAUCACUCCGUAAAACAUUAUUAUGCAUAAAACAUUAUAAAUAGCAGUAGAAAAACAUGAUGCAAAAUGGACGUAUCAACUCCCCCAAGCUUAGACCUCGCUUGUCCUCAAGCGAAAAACCGAUAUCGAAAAACAUGCCCACAUGCUUAGAGAGAGGUGUCGAUAAAAACAAAAUACGGACAUAGAAGCAUCAUGCUUAUUAUUAUAACAGCAACAAACUUUAUCAUAGAACUUUAUCAUAUAACUUCUCAUGAAGAAGUAACAAUUUAGCACAACAUCGAAGUAAAAGCAUAAACUCUAUUGAAAACCAACAAACUAUGUUCUCAGUCAACUUUGCAACUACAAUUCAUCAUCUUUUCAGGAAAGGGUCUCGUAUCGAAGCCUUUUGGCAAGUCCACAUACUCAACCAUCAUAUAGUCUUCUAUGAUUGCUAACACUCACCUCAUACACAUGAGCAAAAUGUUUCAACCAAACACAUAGAAAGAUAGGGUCUUAUAGUUUCGCCUCCCAACGUAUUCACCUCAAGGGUGAUGUCAAUAAUAAUAAUUCAUGCUCACUCAUAUCCAACUGGAUAUAUGUGCCUAGAUCUUUCCUCACCACAUGAUGCUUGCAAAAAGAGAAAAAUAAAAAGGAAUAGGAAAGAAUACUUUGACUCUUGCAUAAAAGUAAAUACAUAAAAGUAAAAGAUAGGCCCUUUGUAGAGGGAAGCUAUUGGGGAUGUAAUUACUGGGUAUGACCCGCCCAGGAGGGGCGGGGUCAUUCCACUGGUGGCUUAAAGAUGAAGAGGCCCAAUAAGGUCCAAGAAGAUGUGAAGAUGGUGGUUCAUAGAGCAAGCCAAUUGAAGGCCCAAGACCCGGAGACGACUUGAGGCCCAUGGGUGUGAGCCGCCAUAUGUUUAACGUGUACUGUAAGGAAAGCUUAGUUAGAAACCGAGCCGGUCACGUUUGUAUGAGCCGGCUGGGACUUUGUAAGCCGCUGGGCAUCAACCUGUAUAUAAAGGGGUGACCCGACGGCGGGUUAACUCAAGAAACAACUCAUCAAGAACUAGGUCAAGCAUAUUCGCUCCCUGGUAAUCGAAACCCAAGCAAUACAACCUAAAGCAGGAGUAGGCUUUUACCUCAUUGAGAGGGGCCGAACCUGGGAAAACUCGAUGUGUCAUUUGUCCCGUUUAACCCCUUCAAGCUAACCUAGCUGCGAUGGCUCCACACCUAAGUCCUUUUACUAGGGCAUCUGUCGUGUUAAGUCCACGACAGUUGGCACCCACCAUGGGGCCAGCGCACGGUGGUUUCGAGUUCUUGAAGGGUAGCUUCUCAGGGAUCAAGGGAUAUGCCGUGGGCCGGAUGACCAAGAGUCAUCGCGGCAAGAUCUACAUCGACGACACAGACCGGGGUCUCGAGGCCGAUUCAAUCGAAUACAGGUACCGGGUCCCCUUCGUCGGAAUCCACGUCUUCAUCGGCAAGAUCGACGAGUCGGGGCCUGAGCCGGACACCUGCACCGACAUCAUCGAGACGGCUCGGCGCGCGCGACCUACCAAGGUUCAAACCGCCGUGAAGCAUGCUUUUGUGGGUUUCACUCACGGAGCGGAUCUUGAGGAAGGAUCUGUGUCCGAUGGAGAGACGGCCAUCUACUCUGAUGAUGACUCCUCAACCGGCGAAACCAAUUCCGUGUAUCAACUGCAAGACGGCGGGCUUGGGGGCUGUUACGAUGGCUACAGUAUUCCGGACCCCUAUGAGCUGCUGAAUAGGGUUGCGAUCUUCAUGGACGGCACGCAACCAGUGCUCAAUUCAUCAACUGCUGCGGCUAUGACGUCUGGUUCAAUGGCCGAGGCGACGGCCGGAGCGAGUGGCUCUGCGCCCGUCGGCUCAGGUUCUGUCCGAGCUCUUGGACGCCUUGGCAACUCUAAUGGGAGCAGAGGUAACCCCAGAGACUCAAGCGCAACAUAAGGUGGACAUCGCACAGCUGCGAGAUGAGAUAGCUCAAGCCAAGGAAGAGCUUAACACUGAGAACGCUAGGAGACAGAGCGAGCCUCCUUGGAUGCGCAACCACAACGGAUUCAAGCUGAGGCUUUCCGGUUAAGUUUGGAUCAGACUGCAUCUAAUGCCAUUCUACAAAGGAGGCACCAAAGUCGUCUGCCUCCGUAAUAUGAUGCGGGGAAUCUUUUCAACACCCCCGGGGGAGGACCAAGUAACCCGCCCGAAGUGACCCGGGCUAUUGAAGCGCCCGCUGUCGGUGUCAAAACCGGCGGAUCUCGGGUAGGGGUCCCGAACUGUGCAUCUAAGGCGGAUGGUAACAGGAGGCGGGGAACACAAUGUUUACCCAGGUUCGGGCCCUCUCGAUGGAGGUAAUACCCUACUUCCUGCUUGAUUGAUCUUGAUGAUAUGAGUAUUACAAGAGUUGAUCUACCACGAGAUCGUAGAGGCUGAACCCUAGAAGCUAGCCUAUGAUUGUGAUUGUUGUCCUCCUACGGACUAAACCCUCCGGUUUAUAUAGACACCGGAGGGGGCUAGGGUUACACAGAGUCAGUUACAAUGGAGGAGAUCUACAUAUCCGAAUUGCCAAGCUUGCCUUCCACGCAAAGGAGAGUCCCAUCCGGACACGGGACGAAGUCUUCAAUCUUGUAUCUUCAUAGUCCAACAGUCCGGCCAAAGCAUAUAGUCCGGCUGUCCGAGGACCCCCUAAGCCAGGACUCCCUCAGUAGCCCCUGAACCAGGCUUCAAUGACGAUGAGUCCGGCGCGCAGUUUGUCUUCGGCAUUGCAAGGCGGGUUCCUCCUCCGAAUACUCCAUAGAAUAUUUUGAACACAAGGAUCGUGUCCGGCUCUGCAAAACAAAUUCCACAUUCCACCGUAGAGAGUACAAUAUCCCACAAAUCUAAUCUGCUGACAAAUUUCGUAGCGUGACACCACGCCACGGCCCGGUCAUUAUUCGAACCGUUUUUCUCAACCAGCUACUGCACAUAUUGCGAGGCGGUUUUCUUGGCACGUCUUGUCGAAGCAGAGAUCGUGUCCCCUUAUCACGGGAUCCUCAUCAAUACGGGUGUGGGUAACCCAACCGCGCCAUCAAUCACGAUGCUUGGGGAAUAAGCGAGUUUACCAGGCAAGUGGGGAGGCGCAGAACCCCUACUGCCUUUAUAAGGGGACAAGAACUCCCUUUCGCACCCACGCUUUCUUCUUCCCGAUCCAUUCCCCUUCGCUCGAGCUCCAGCGCCCGAGCGUUCGUCUUCUCCGCCCACAAAGGCCUUCCGAAAAUGUCCGGAUCCGGAGUAGGAGGCAAGUGGAUGGCCUCUACCGUCCGGGAGAAGGAUAUCAAAAAGCUUCGGGAGGCCGGGUAUCUGGCCAAGAAAAUCGGCCACCGUCUCCCGACGGUGGGACAAAUCGUUCCUACUCCGGAACCCCACGAGAGGGUUGUAUUCCUCCCUCAUUUUGUCCGCGGGCUAGGGUUUCCCCUCCACCCGUUUGUUCGCGGCACCAUGCAUUAUUACGGGAUCGAUUUUCAUGAUCUAUCCCCCAAUUCCUUCCUCAACAUCUCGACGUUCAUCGUCGUGUGUGAGGCUUUUCUCCGCAUCUCGCCCCACUUCGGCUUAUGGCUGAAGAUCUUUAAUGUGAAGCCCAAGGUAGUGAGCGGCGAGCAUGCCGAGUGCGGGGGCGCUAUGGUGAGCAAGAUGCCCAACGUCACAUGGCCAACAGGUACUUUUAAUGAUUCCGUCAAAGAGUGGCAACAACUGUGGUUUUACAUCACUGAGCCGUGCGGCACGGAAUGGGCCGCUGCUCCAGAGUUCCGAUCCGGAGCCCCUCUGCGGCUUACGUCCUGGCCCAAGAAGGGCCUGAACUGGUCUUCGUCCGACGAACUGUCGGUGCUCCAGACGCGCGUUAAAGAUAUGGAAGACAAGAACAUCGAACUUGUCAAUGUAGUCCAGGUGAUGUUAGUUCCCUGGAUCCUGCCUUGUCAACACCGGACUUGCAAUCUAUGGGAACUCAAUCCGACCAAGCACCAGACCCUGCGAGAGCUCUUUGGAUCCUCGCACAAAGACAUCUGGAAGGUGCUUUUCAAGUCCGAUAAAUCAUGGCCAGACUCAGCCGAGGACCGCGGGUACCAACUGUCCCGCCCUGCAAGCUCGGUAAGUCAUCAUACGAUUUAUCCGCAUAACCCAAGGGAAAUGCUUAAUGUGUUUUCCACAACUCUCCUAGGACUGGACGAAGAAGGCGGAGCGGAUCCACUGCCCGUCCCCGCUGCCCGAAGAACCGGCCGACCCACUUCUGACGAAGAUGCUGGUCCCGGUGCCUUACAAGGCGCCGCAGAAGAAGACCGAGAAGGAGGCCAAAAAGACCCGGGGCGGCCUUCGUCGCCGCGGCAUUUCGGACACAAUAUCCGAAGGCUCCAGUGUCCGUUCUGCCUCCGAAGAGGACGAGGAGGAGUAGGAAAAUGAAUCCCCUGUGGGGGGAAGAAAGAAGAGGACGGCCUCCAUACACUUGGAGGCCGAGUCGCCUAAAAGGGGAAAAAUUCCUCUUCCGGAAGAGUCCACUGCCACCGCCGACAGCAGCUCGGCGUGGGAUCCCAGGGCCCAACCCCUGGUGAACUCGUGAGUAUAUAAAAUCCGAACACGUUUAUGCGUCCAGACUCAUCAUGGCAUAAUAUUUUAACCUGAGCCAUAUUUUUUGUAGUCCGGCGAGGUCCCGCACCGAACAAUCCUCAUCAGAGGAUUUGCUGAGCUCGGAUGCUAUGGAGAGCGGGACGCCCCGAAGGCCCCUUCCCCCAAAUAUGUGAAUAACACCGAGGCUUCGUCCCAGAAGGACCUCGGCCAAGGAGGGGGGGAAAAGAUCGUGAAGGCGGCGCCUGGGGGUCAAACUUCAGGGGUCGGCGACAUGGGGGAGAAGAUUCCCAUGGAAGUCGACGGCGGGGGCCAUCUUGAAUUCGGCCCCCAGCCGGACGCAAUUUCGGAGACCAAUACGGCUCCAGAAUCAAGCAGGCGGCCUCCCUCGGCUGGAGGGGGCGUGCCUGUUCCACCGGCAACCUCUGUCCAACCAGAGGUGCCGGAUACUUUGUUGGCGGCGCUGAAGAGCGCCUCCAUCGUCGAUGAACACCGUGCCCUUACGGGUGCGGUGAUUGAGAAGAUUCAGUCAGCUGAGAGUGAACUGAAUGAAGCCUGUAUCAGCCUUAUAAGAGGCUUUGAGGUAUGUUUUAUGAGGUUUCGAAGAGUGUCAUAGUAUGGAUGGUAGCCCCUGAUACACUGUUCGGUGAAAGAAAGAACCGGACAGAGGAUCAAUUUUAUGUUCGCAGGAAGACUCACUUGAUGACAUCUAUCUCUCUUCUUUUAUAAGCAGGUAUCAGGGACUCUCAUUAUCUGGCUAUGGCAUGCCGAGCCGAUUCCAAGCAGCUACUUCGGGCUCGUGAAGCGGCUUGUAAGUGCCUGCCCUCGACUUGACGUCAUCAAGCAGUCAGUCUGUAUAGAGGGUGCGCGAAUGGCCUUCGCCCGCGCAAAGGUGCACUGGGGGAAGAUGGAUGCUGAAAUGCUGAUGACCGAGGGGCCGCCAGAGGGGAAGGAGCACCGCAAGCCCGAAUUAUAUUAUGAAAGUGUCCUGAAAGGAUCCUGCCUUGCGGCGGAGCAAUGCACCAAGGACGUUAUAUUUCCAUGAAUACAACCAUGUUGUCCUUUGUAAUGUUGAACAAGGUCAUUUCUAUUAUUUAUUGCCUGUUGUAUAAAAGUUUAUCCUCCUGCGUGGCUGUUUUAUAUAUUAAUCCUGAGAGUUGGCCAGUCGUCGGCUUCUGCCCCCACGUAGGAAGUACGGGGGUGUUCGGGAUAAACCUGAUCACUCUUUAUCCCAGUUUUGGGUCCUUCAAAGGAGGUGUUCAGCACGAUGAACCAGGCAAUCGGACUAUAGGGCUUUAUCACUCUCACUUAGCCAUAGGAGCUUUAGGAAAGGAAGGUAGGUGCAGCCCCUGGUGUUCGGAAGACCGCACGAGGGGCUCUAUAAGCACCUGAUCGGAAGAAAAACCGAUCCAUCACACGCUGCAUUGGUUAUGGCAUUAUGCAGGAGAAAUCCUUAAAGAUUUUACAACCUCUCGAACAGCUGACCAGCUCUCGCCGUAUCAUGACAGUCAGUUUUCGGCUUUCUCUACUGAGGUGCUCGUCCGGAAGAACUGGGACACAAUCACAGUAGUUCUCCCUGUGCCGCCUUAGCCGAUAUAGCAGAACGUAAGGCAGCAAAACAUGGGAGCCGGGCAAACCCAACAUUUGACCCAAGACAUGAUUCGGAGUUGAUGCAUAUAAUGCUAUAAGUUCGGGGUGCCGAACUUCCAUGAAGGUGUUUGGACUUUAUUGCCGUAUUAUGGGUAAAACGAAGCCCCUGGCAUAUUUAAGGCAUGUCGCGGUGUACGGAUGCUACGUGACAAAAGAAUUUCAAUAAGAAAUAACAGCAGAUAAGUAUCAUAUAAAUCCACAUGUUGUAUUUGAAUAGUACGUCGAAUGCGUAUGAGUACAGGUAAUCUGAUAAAAAAGAAAUAUGACUAUGGAACCUGCUGAGACCAGGGGGGAAGAAGCUGUGUGCGGAUCCGGAGUAUAGUCGGAUGGUCAUUGCGGGGAAUAUCUAAGGAUUCCCUUGCGCGUUCGAGCUGCUUCCAUAUCGCCAGUCCUGGUCUACGCAAAGGUGAACCUGCAAAGAAAAUGUAAGGAAUGUUUGUGUGCCGCAGAGCGGUUGAGCCGCGGUAUGUGGCCUGUCCUGGCCUCCGCCGGAGUGUUUAAUUGAGCUCUGGACGAGCCGGGCUAUCCUGUCGCGAAGUAGUUCAGAGUCCUUUGGCGGUGUCUGGGAGCCUGGCCGUCGACUCGAGGUUCGAUUGAAGGGUGCCACUUUGUCGGAGUAAAUAGCCACGGGUAGCCUAACCGACUCCCCCUGGCUUCUCAAGAAAUUAUCAGGCCAUUUGAGCCUUCAAGAAUUCGAAGCACCGGGCCGCCUUCCCCCGGCCGGCUAUCCCAGGGGCCGACUCUCAGAAGGCGACCCAUUCCCAGAAACCUUCCCCAAGAUAGCUACGAGAUGGCCGACUCCAGGAAGCCGGCCCCAAAAGGACCGACUCCCAAAAGCAGGCCAUGAAGAACACCGACUCCCAAAAGCCGGCCAUGAAGAACGCCGACUCUAAGAAGCCGGCCAAGACCGCACCCACCAAAACUAUGCCCACAUAACGGUGAUAAGACGGGGCGUGGCCACAGUACAACCCACUACCCCCGAAUCCCGAAGCAGGCAUGGCCGCAGGACGCCGUACGGGUCAGCCAUCUCCCGUCCGGCGCGGCACUGUAGCCAUGUUGGCCUCGACGUCAUCCACGACAGACGCCAGUACGGCCCGCGGGUGGCGGGCCCCUUUAGCCAGAGGGACGCUCGAAGGCAGCCCGGCCUCCCCUAGUCGGCCACGGGCGUAGCCGGCCUCCAGAAGCCGGCUACCCCCCUCCCUCGAAACAUGAGCCACAUUAAGGAGACAAGACGAGGUAAGGCUACAGUGAGAGCCCACAAGGCGGCACACUGUAGCCACGCUUACCUCGACAAAGCCCUCGUCAUCAGAGGCGAGGCAACAGUAACCAGCCGCCGACAAGACCCCCAAGCGGUGGGGCCGGCCUAUCGACCAAGAGGCCGGCAGCCGGCGGGACCCACCAGUCGGCGGGCCCCAAAGGCCGGCGGAGAAGUCGGCGAACACAGACACUGACGGCUGGGGCCCGCACCCAGCCGGAUUACUAUUGUACCCCUGGGGGUAGGCCUAUAUAAACCCCCCGGGGCACCCAUGCCAAGGGUUGGUCUCAUAGAGUUACACACACACCAUAUAGAGAGGAAAGGGAGAGCUAGCCUUGCUCUUCUUCUCCCUUGAAUCCGACAGCUCAAGGAGCACUUGUAGCUACUCGUUUUGAUCUAGUGAUCAUGCGGAGACCCCGCAGAGCAGGACUAGGGGUGUUAUCUCCACGGAGAGCCCCGAACCUGGGUAAGAUACGCCGGCGUGCAUGUCUUCGCCUCAUCCCGUUUCCAGGCACCGGCGACGUCUUACUGGCUCCCACAAUGAUAAGCCACCCGUUGGCAUAUGUCGCACCUACCACCCGACACACUUGUUGCUCCUGCUGUUAAAGCAGCAGUAUACUCUUUGGUACCGAGGGAAAGUUCGGCCUUGCCAUUAACCGUGAUGACGCCGCGCGGACCGGGUAUCUUGAGCUUUCGGUAGGCGUAAUGUGGCACCGCGUUGAAUCGAGCGAACACGGUUCGUCUGAGCAGUGCCUGAUAACCACUGCGAAAGGGAACGAUGUCGAAGAUUAACUCUUCGGAACGGUAAUUGUCUGGUGAUCCGAAGACUACCUCAAGGGCGAUGGAGCUUGUACAGCUAGCCUCCACACUUGGUAUAAUACCUCUAAAGGUGGCUUUAGUGGGCUUGAUCACCGAAUGAUCGAUGCCCAUCUUGCGCACUGUGUCCUGGUAAAGCAGGUUUAGACUGCUGCCUCUGUCCAUAAGGACUCGUGUGAGGUGGAACCCGUUAAUUAUUGGGUCGAGGACUAGUGCGGCUGAAUUGCCCUGAUUGGUGUUAACCGGACAAUCCAUGCGGUUGAAGGUGAUCGGCCCUAGUUUGUAUUGUGGGACGACUGAUUCCGUUAAGUCGGCAUCCUUAAGGGUGCGCAUCCGGUCCGGGUUGGGAGUGUGGGUGCCGUUUACCACGUUCACCGUUUGGAUUUGCGGGGGAAAUUUCUUUUGCCCUCCUGUAUUCGGUGAUCUGGGUUCCUCGUCGCCAUCAUCGCUUUGAGACCCCUUGUCUUUGUUUUUGGCGCCUGUCCUGCCGGCUUGUUUGAAGACCUAGCAUUCUCUGUUGGUAUGAUUGGCUGGUGUUCCUGGGGUGCCAUGAAUUUGGCAUGGACGGUCGAGUAUGCGGUCCAGACUGGACGGACCCGAAUUGACAUUUUUGAGUGGCCCAUUCCGCUGUCCGAACUUAGGGCCGCUAAAUCCGGCAUUGACUGCCGUAUCUUUGGAGUUUUCACCAUUUUUGCGGCGCUUGUGUUUGUUGCAUCGGGGUUUGCCGUUGCUAUCUCUGGCCUCUGAUGUGCCAGGGCUGCUUGCUGUGUUGUUGCUACGGGCCAACCAGCUAUCUUCGCCCGCGCAAAAGCGGGUCAUGAGUGUCGUGAGGGCUGCCAUGGAUUUUGGCUUCUCCUAGCCGAGAUGUCGAGCGAGCCAUUCGUCACAGAUGUUAUGUUUAAAGGACGCUAGGGCUUCGACAUCCGGACAGUCGACAAUUUGGUUCUUUUUAGUUAGGAACCGAGUCCAGAAUUUCCUGGCUGACUCUCCGGCUGUUGUGUUAUGUGACUUAAAUCAUCAGCAUCCGGUGGUCGCACAUAAGUGCCCUGGAAGUUGUCUACGAAUGUGUCUGCCAGGUUCUCCCAACUUCUGAUGGAAUUUGCCGGCAAGCUAUUCAGCCAAUGCCGAGCUGGCCCUUUGAGUUUUAGCGGGAGAUACUUGAUGGCGUGUAGAUCAUCCCCGUAGGCCAUGUGAAUGUGGAGGAAGAAAUCCUCUAUCCAUACCGCGGGGUCUGUAGUGCCAUCAUAUGAUUCAAUGUUCACGGGUUUAAACCCUUCUAGGAAUUCAUGAUCCAUUACUUCAUUAGUGAAGCAUAGGGGGUGUGCGGCGCCUCUGUGCCUGGCUAUAUCACAACGCAGUUCAUACGAGUCUUGUCUACUGUGUUUGGCCCGGCCGGAUUUGCUUUUAGUAUAUCUGGCGUGACGGUCAUCGUCACGCGUUGGGGCGCGCCCCCGUGAUCCGUAGAUCGAUCUUGCAUGUCCUGCUUUGUUUUCCAAUACGUCUCGCAGGUCUUGCGUGUUACCCCAGGCCUUGGUAUUUUUGCUUAACUGGCGACGGGGUGCGGGCUGGACUUCGGCCUGAUAUGCCGCUUUGUCUCGGCCACGAGGUGGCCAGUCAGCUGCAUCAUACGCUGGAAGCGUAGGUUUUAAUGCUUCCUCCUCGAGUUGGGGUAGCAACCUGCGCUGUGGGUAACUUUUGGUUGGGCGCUCGAGUUCGUAUUCCUCGGCCGCCAGGAACUCAGUCCAUCUAUCCGCUAGCAGAUCUUGUUCAGCUUGAAGCUGUUGUUGCUUUUUCUUCAGGCUUUUUGCUGUGGCUAUAAGCCGGUGCUUGAAGCGCUCCUGCUCGACGGGAUCCUCAGGCACGAUAAAUUCUUCAUCGCCGAGGCUCACCUCGUCUUCGGAGAGAGGCAUGUAAUUGUCAUCCUCUGAUUCUCCGUCUGCUGCCUGUUCCUUAGGGCUAGCUUGCCCAUCCUCCCGCUCGAAGCCUGGCUGGAGGGGAUUGUCUUCGUCUUCGGCACUAUCCGCAGCGUUAUUGUCUCUUGUGCCGGUAUCGCUGCUUUUGCUAUGGCGGGGCUUAGAGCGGCGCCGAUGACACCGGUGCUUAGAUUGCUUCUCGAGGGGAUUAUCCUCCAUUGCUUUAUUGCCAUCGCUUUCUUUGGGGGUGUCCACCAUGUAUAUAUCAUAUGAUGAGGUGGCAGUCCAGCGCCCUGUGGGCGGUGGUUCUUGUUCUUCUCCUGCAUCGUCGUCCAUACCGUCGAUGUUUUCAGAGCCGAAAUCGAGCGUGUCGGUUAAGUCGUCGAAAGUGGCUAUUAAGUGGGUGGGGAACAAAUUUCUUUGUCGUCCGCUUCCCACUCGAGCCGGACAUAGUUCGGCCAAGGGCGUCCUGACAAGGAGAGAGACCUUAAUGAAUUCAGCAUGUCGCCCAGGGGCGAGUGCUGAAAGAUAUCCGCGGAGGAAAACUCCAUGAUCGGCGCCCAAUCAGAUUUGAUAGGCACAGACACAGGCGGUUCGGAGCCCGUGGCCGGGGACGAAUCCAAGGGUCCGGCAACACAGGUCUCGUAGGAGGUAAAGUCAGUAUUCGGCUCUAAUGCCGCUAAGUGUGCGGCCUCCAUGGUGGGGUCCAUCCCCCCGUCCUCGGAUGGCGUGAUCUGCUCCGGAUUGAGGGCCGGAGUAGCCACAAGUGUGAUCUCCUGAACACCGUCCGACGGCAGAGUGAAGUCAUGCUCGUCGUGACUGUGCGGCGCACCUGACAUGGGCUCGAAUCCGUCGAAGAUCGAGUCUCCGCGGAUGUCGGCAGUAUAGCUUAAGUUUCCAAACCUGACCUGACGGCCGGGGGCGUAGCUCUCGAUCCGAUCCAGAUGGCCAAGCGAGUUGGCCUGCAGUACGAAGCUUCCGAAUACGAAGAUCUGUCCGGGGAGGAAAACCUCACCCUGGAUCGCAUCAUUGCCGAUGAUCGAAGGAGCCAUCAAGCCUUUAUCGUGACGGCACAGUGGAACUCUCAAUGAAAGCACCAAUGUCAGUGUCAAAACCGGCGGAUCUCGGGUAGGGGGUCUCGAACUAUGCGUCUAAGGCGGAUGGUAACAGGAGGCGGGGGACACAAUGUUUACCCAGGUUCGGGCCCUCUCGAUGGAGGUAAUACCCUACUUCCUGCUUGAUUGAUCUUGAUGAUAUGAGUAUUACAAGAGUUGAUCUACCACGAGAUCGUAGAGGCUGAACCCUAGAAGCUAGCCUAUGAUUGUGAUUGUUGUCCUCCUACGGACUGAACCCUCCGGUUUAUAUAGACACCGGAGGGGGCUAGGGUUACACAGAGUCGGUUACAAGGGAGGAGAUCUACAUAUCCGAAUUGCCAAGCUUGCCUUCCACGCAAAGGAGAGUCCCAUCCGGACACGGGACGAAGUCUUCAAUCUUGUAUCUUCAUAGUCCAACAGUCCGGCCAAAGCAUAUAGUCCGGCUGUCCAAGGACCCCCUAAUCCAGGACUCCCUCACCCACGGUCGGGGCGACGACUCAACCACAUGUUGCGGAUCCGCCCCGUUUGAAUUUAACCCCACCUCAGCAAGUGCCUACACCACCGGGUUAUUUUUCUAAUCCUCUAGAAAAAAUGAUUGCUGCGGCAUCGCGACUGGCGGCUCUUCCAAUGCAAGGUGAGUCUCCCGCGGCGGUUGAAGCCCGGAAGGCUGUGGAACUUCUUCAGACGGCGGUGGCUCAGCAGGUGGCUAAUUCGUACAGCCAUGAUCGGAUUCAUUCGACUCCACACCACAGGCGGAGUUACAGCCGACGCAUUGAGUCGCCAGCGGUUUCGAGCAGUGAGCGGCACCGUAACCAACACUACAAAAAAAGACACAUCCGUGACAUUUUGGGCUGAACAAAUUUUUUUUCUGUCAUACAUAUGACACUUCUAUGACGAUAAUUGUGACAAAACCCGGUAUCAUCAUAUAUGUGGUGGGCUCCUACUUCUAUGACAAAAAAUCAUGACAGAAAAUGGGCUUUUCGUCCUGGGCGGGCCGGAGAUGCAGCUGCAUGACAUUCUUUGGGCCGUCCAUGACGGAAAAACCGUGGUAGAAGCGAGGGGGAGGAAAAUUUUGGGGAGUUCCCGGUUACAGUGGGAGGUCGGGGGCCGAGCGAUGCACGUUUCUCUCGUACACGUACGCGCGUGUGUGCGAGGCGUUGGCUCUAACUGAACCCGAGCGAGGCGUUGGGCUCUAACUGAACCCGAGCGAUUACACUGCAGACUACGUGUUACUGAACCCGAGUGAUCGAUCGAUGGCUAUUAACUGAACCCGAUCGAGCAAUUCCUUCGCUACUGCUGCUAACUGAAGCCGAUCGAUUGGAUGAACAGUGANNNNNNNNNNNNNNNNNNNNNNNNNNNNNNNNNNNNNNNNNNNNNNNNNNNNNNNNNNNNNNNNNNNNNNNNNNNNNNNNNNNNNNNNNNNNNNNNNNNNNNNNNNNNNNNNNNNNNNNNNNNNNNNNNNNNNNNNNNNNNNNNNNNNNNNNNNNNNNNNNNNNNNNNNNNNNNNNNNNNNNNNNNNNNNNNNNNNNNNNNNNNNNNNNNNNNNNNNNNNNNNNNNNNNNNNNNNNNNNNNNNNNNNNNNNNNNNNNNNNNNNNNNNNNNNNNNNNNNNNNNNNNNNNNNNNNNNNNNNNNNNNNNNNNNNNNNNNNNNNNNNNNNNNNNNNNNNNNNNNNNNNNNNNNNNNNNNNNNNNNNNNNNNNNNNNNNNNNNNNNNNNNNNNNNNNNNNNNNNNNNNNNNNNNNNNNNNNNNNNNNNNNNNNNNNNNNNNNNNNNNNNNNNNNNNNNNNNNNNNNNNNNNNNNNNNNNNNNNNNNNNNNNNNNNNNNNNNNNNNNNNNNNNNNNNNNNNNNNNNNNNNNNNNNNNNNNNNNNNNNNNNNNNNNNNNNNNNNNNNNNNNNNNNNNNNNNNNNNNNNNNNNNNNNNNNNNNNNNNNNNNNNNNNNNNNNNNNNNNNNNNNNNNNNNNNNNNNNNNNNNNNNNNNNNNNNNNNNNNNNNNNNNNNNNNNNNNNNNNNNNNNNNNNNNNNNNNNNNNNNNNNNNNNNNNNNNNNNNNNNNNNNNNNNNNNNNNNNNNNNNNNNNNNNNNNGAUCAACAGGACCCCCGUUUCGACCGUAGGAGGUCCGUUUCCUCCGUUUUACGGUACGCCACACUCCUCCCGAUCAACAGGACCCCCGUUUCGAUCGUAGGAGGUCCGUUUCCUCCGUUUUGCGGUACGCCACACCCCUCCCCAUGAACACGACACAUUCCGUUGCCUCCCCAUGAACACGACGCAUUCCGUUGCCUCCCCAUGAACACGACGACGACGCUGUUUCUCCGUUCCGACCCAGCCAUGUACACGAGCCCUCGCCGUACGUAUGCGCGAGUAGGCGUUCGAGACCCUGCCCGUAUGUACAUACGUGGCCGUAUUUUCUUUCUUGCACCCUGGCCGCUGUACGUACGUGUACAUGCUACGUGCGCGCCUCUACUACGACACGUACGCGUCUCUACUAUGACAGCGCGCGCCUCUACAUCGACAAGUAUAUAUGUACAUACACGUUCGUGACCAGAAUGACAACGCUACGUACGCUUCGACCAGGUGGGUCUCGACUGUUAGGCACUUCCUUGCCUGCGAAGAUGUAGCUGAUGGGUCCCAGCAGUCAGGGGGGCAAAUCGUUUUGGUUUUUUUUGCCCGGACGCACUUCCUUGCGUGCGAAGAUGUAGCUGGUGCGUCCCAGCAGUCAGGGGGGCGAAUCGUUUUUUUUGCCCGGGCGCACUUCCUUCCGUGCGAAGGUGUAGCUGGUGGGUCCCAGCAGUCAGGGGGGAAACGUUUUUUCGCGAAAUACGGUGGCCCGUCUGGUGGGUCCCUGUUGUCAAGUGGAGGAAUCAUUAUUUUCCGCGUAAUAAGGAGGCACUUCCUUGCUGCCGCCGUGGACCCAGCUGUCAGCCUCUCCACGUACAGUCCAUGUCCGAUGGAAGUCAUUCCUUGACCACGUUGACCACGCCGCGCCGAGAGCACCAGGGCGGUGGACCACGGCGAGGCCUAGGAAGGGGACGACGCGGAGCCGGUGAAGACGCGGCAGUGGAUGCCCACGCGAAGAGGAGUAUGAGGGUUCACUCGUUCGGCUGCGGUGUGAGGCUGCCGUCGCCGCAGGGCCUGGCCAGCGGUGGGAAUAGUAGGGGCAGUGAGGCCUCCGCGGCAGCACAGCCGGCCACGGGAGGCAGGAGCAGGCGGCACAACCGGCGCUGCUUUGGGCGGCUGGAGCAAGAAGACCAGAGGUUGAAGAAGCACUACGGCCGUUGGAUGGACAUCGUACGGUCACUGGAGCUAGAAUCGUUCAUAUUGACUAAGUUGACAAAGCCGUCUGUCCCCGUCAACUUAGUAGGCCCACAAGUCAGCCUCCCACCAAGGUGGGUCCCAGCUAGCAGGGGGAGUAUUCAUUUUUUUGUGCGUAAUAAGGAGGCACUUCCGGUGGGUCUGAGCUGACAGCGGGGGGAACGUUUUUUCGCGAAAUACGGUGGCCCGUCCGGUGGGUCCUAGCAGUCAGGGGGGAAACGUUUUUUUCGCGAAAUAAGGUGGCCCGUCCGGUGGAUCCCCGCUGUCAGGUGGAGGAAUAAUUAUUUUGCACGUAAUAAGGAGGCACUUCCUUGCGGCCGCCGUGGACCCAGCUGUCAGCCUCUCCAUGUACAGUACUCUUCCGAUGGAAGUCGGUCGUUGACCACGUUGACCACGCCGCGCCGAGAGCACCAGGGCGGUGGACGACGGCGAGGCCUAGGAAGGGGACGACGCGGAGCCGGGGAAGAUGUAGCAGUGGAAGCCCGCGCGAAGAGGAGUACGAGGGUUCACUGGUUCGGCUGCGGUGUGAGGCUGCCGUCGCCGCAGAAUAACAAGGGGUGUGGGUGAGUGGAGGGAUGGCCUGGCCAGCAGUGGGAGUAGUAUAGGGGCGGUGAGGCCUCCGCGGCAGCACAGCCGGCCACGGGAGGCAGGAGCAGGCGGCACGACCGGCGCUGCUUUGGGCGGCUGGACCAAGAAGACCAGAGGUUGAAGAAGCACUACGGCCGUUGGAUGGACAUCGUACGGUCACUGAAGCUAGAAUCGUUUAUAUUGACUAAGUUGACAAAGCCCUUGGUACGCUCCAACUUAGUAGGCCCACAGGCCAGCCUCUGAAACGGUGCGCCCCAGAUGUCAGGGGGAGGAAUCAUUUUUUGGGCGGCCGAAGCUAAGAAUAUCCGAGAUUGAAGAAGAAGCACGACAUCCGUUGGAUAGACAUCCAACGGCCACUGCUGCUAGAACCGUGUGUUGACUAUAAUAAGUUGACAAAGCCUUGCAUACGCGUCAACUUAUUUUUUUUAGGGGACGCGUCACUUAGUAGGCCCACAAGUGUGUGGCAGAGAACUUAUAGCCCAUUUGCAUUUUGUAAGAAUGUACAACCCAUUUUUUAAUUCUAAUGGAAUUUACAACAGCCCAUUUACAGUUUGUUAAAAGUACAGCCCAUUUUCUAGCUAGGACAACGAUUAAUAAUUUCAACCAACCGUUGAAGGAAGAAUUCAAUAAAAUUUCCCACAUUUUGAUGGGAUCCGAAAUAUUUUUAUCCCGAAAUUUCUAGUCAGAUUAAAUAUAAAUUUGUAUUACGUAAAAAUCCAACGAAACAUUGCGCGCGCAACAAUGAAAAUUUAAGAUUUUCAAAAUCCAUAAAUAAUAUUUUAUAAACUAAUUUCGUGUUUGGUGCAUUUUUUUAUAGUUACUGCCCAGUUUUUAUAAUUAUAUCCCAUUUAUUAUUUUUAAAGCCCAUUUUCCUGUUAAGCCUAAUGCAUCCCUCCUAGGAAAGAUUUGCAGCCCAGCGGGGCGGAGAAUAACAAGUUGACCUUGCCUGGGUAUUCCUCAAAAAGACGUAUAGCUGGGCUAGCCAUUUUCAUCUUGAAAAAAUUAGUAUCUAGGCUGGAUAUCUGGCCUGGGCUAGACGGGCCACAGCCCGCCCAGUUAAUACCCUGCUCUCCUCUGAACAACAAUGAAAUCAUCGCUAAGAAAAACUCUGCAGUGCUCACGCCUCAAAAACACAAAUACUGCUCGAGCUGCUUGGUCCCAGCUGUCGGCUGCACCUUGUGCAUUUCUCUCAUUUAUAUUGACUACAUAGGUUGACAAUGGUGUGGGACCGUGAUGUCAGGAAACCAGGAGAAAGAAAAAAAAAUAUAGUUGUACAUAAUAAGGAGGCACUUGCGUACGUACGGCUAUGGCCCUAGUGGGUCCCUAGUGUCAUCCAGUCAAAAUAAAGUCAUCUCCUGAAUCCUCAUGUUCGUUGACGAUGUUAACAAUGCUCGGCGCCACGGCGAGCGCAACAACUCGAAGGACAACGGAGAGGGCCUCGCGGGCCCUACGGAUGGUCUGAUACAGCGCCCGCUGCUCAUUCAGGAAGCCAGGAUCAUCAGACACCUAUGAGCACCUUCGAGAAACUCAGACGGCAUGAAACGGUAAGGCCGCGCUUGGGAGCUCUGGUUUAUUUCAAACCUAUAUUAACAUACAAGUGUAAUUUACUCGUCAUCGGAAACAACGCGUAAAAUACAGGCGUAAUGAAAUCGAGGGCCCGAGGUCUGUAAGUAAAACCGGCGGGUUACGCGUGUAAUUUGAGAGACCAGUGUAUAUUUUACGAGCACUGCUAUAUGGACGACAUUACCAGACGAUACAUGCACGACGUGCGUAUCAUGCCAUCCAUGGGCAAGGCUGAAACAACAGCUAACGGCUGGAUUAGCAAUCGUCCGAGUGUCGUUUAGCGUUUUUAUCGUGUGUGAAGUACUUCCGAUAUUUUACUAGUCGAAAUCGACCAACCAAGCGCCUUCGCCCGAGACCAUCUGCUUUAAUUUACAAGCGUCAGUUUUACAAGCGGUUUUGGUUGGAAAACAACGAUCCAAUCAUGGCCUAAUAUCAUGAGUUGGUCGGAAGAUCAUAUGGUUUCACGUCUAACCUACCUGACUUGUCGUAUAGGCUAUGAAUGAAACAUCAGACGAUGAACUUCUUAAGCACGGAAACAACAGAAGAGGAUGAUCUUCUUAACAAGAAAAUCACUGGCAUUAGAUCGACAUGCAAAACAAUAGGAAGCAUUAUUCUCAGGAGGCACGGUGAACAGCUCGUGAUGCCGCAUGCCACAACAUUCCAAGCUCAACUUUGCAAUCAAACACAAGGCCUGGCAUUACAUAGACAAUAUUCAGAACAAACUCUUAAAACAGGAAUAUCUCAGCAGAGUAACUAUUUACUUCUAAACUGAACACAGGAACAGGAAAAAACACUCGACGCUACUCAUAGCAAGGGCGUCCCACUCAAAAAUAUCAAAUGCAUGUCUUUUGGCUAACAUCAAUGAGCAAAUUUUGACAAGGUUUUCCAAUUCCAAUAUAUUAAACUAACGUCUUCUUGCUAACAUCAAUGAUUAAACUUUGACAAGCUUUUCCCAUUCAAAAUAUGUAAUGCCUAUGAUCGUGGAGUCCUGUCGUAGCUUCUUGUACUUGUUUGGGCACUUUUUGCCUAGGGCACUCCACGUGUUGUUAAAUUGCCAAUGGUCUCUGCAGACUAGUCAUGUCACCGGUGUCUAAUAAUACUCUGUAAAGCUUCUCGGUCAUUCCUUCUGUAAUGUAGCGCAAACAGUGACUGCUUCUUUCUGCAAAGUGGAACGACCAACUGGACCCAGUAAUGCAGCAGUUUGCCUUGGACACAUUGGCUCCUUUUGUGCAGUUCAACUAAAAUCAAAGUCGGAAUAAAACCAAGCUUUAAUUUUGAUAUCCCUGUAAGCAACAAUAGGUAUAAGGGAAACUAUUCCUGAGAAAUAACGGGUUGAUGACUUGUACUCCCAGAAGAAAAGCAUCUACUGAUCUACUUUAUCUUAAUGGGAAACAAAGCAGGAGAGUAGCAAUUCUCCAUCAGUGUGAUUCAUUCAUAUUGACUGAGACAUUAUCUUAACAAUGCCUUGUUUCAACAUGUAUAAAGAACGACAAAGCAGAAAAGUACCAGUCCUAAAACAAUGCAACUGAUUCAUUUUAACAGAGACAUUAUCUUAACAAUACCUUGGUUAAACAUGUAGAAAGAACUACAAAGCGGGAUAGUACCAUUCCUAACAAGUGUUGCAGUUUUGAACUAAGAUUCAAUAGUUAAUUAAUUCUGAGAGUGGCAUUGCUUAAUUUUACCAGCGGCAUUAGAUUAACGAAAAGCAUAAACAGUUCCCGGGGAGAGUGGGCGCAACAACAGUAUGUGCUUCCAUCUACUUAUAAAGGGGGUGAUGCAGAGUUUGUUGUAACAAAGCAAUAAGCAUCAUGUCUGGGUUGGUCCCAUUUUUGUUCACUACUUAAUGGGAAAAGACAGCAAUACAAUAGCUUCAAUUCAACAUUUAUUUAAAACAGUACCAAUACAAGUAGCACAACAUCUCAAAGCACACUGCACAAUCAUGUGGAUGAAGGCCUGUACUAACCUUUCAUGAGACAGACAAGAUAAAAUACGAAUCUGCCAACACGAAUAGGAAAUCCAAUCUCGUUUUGUGCAGUUGCACUGAAAUCAAGCAAAGUGUUUCGCGUAGCGAAGUAAAAUGUCACAAUAGCAACAAGUUGAAUAGAUAUCCCUGUUUAAACAGAGGCAAAAAAGGAAUCAAUUACUGGCUAAUAAAGGAGGAUGAAACAUGCGGCCACAAAAAUGGUAAUCCCGCCAAUCCCUAACAAGUGUUGCAGUUUUGAAAUAAGAUUCAGUAGUUAAUUCUGAGAGUGGCAUCAAUUACUGGCUUAUAAAGGGGGUGAUGUUGAAUUUGUUGUAACAAAGCAACAAGCAUCAUGUCUGGGUUGGUCCCAUUUUUGUUCACUACUUAAUGGGAAAAGACAGCAAUACAAUAGCUUCAAUUCAACAUUUAUUUAAAACAGUACCGAAACAAGUAGCACAACAUCUCAAAGCACACUGCACAUCAUGUGGUUGAGACCAAGAUUUGAAACAACUCGCCACGAAGACUGGAAACAAAUCUCGAUCUCCUUUUGUGCAGUUCCACCAAAAUUAAGCAAAGUCACCGGUGUGACAUUCAAGUUGAACUGCACAAAACACUCUUAAAACAUAAGUGUUUCGAGUAGCGAAGCAAAAUGUCGCAAUAGCAACAAGUUGAAUCAAUAGCCCUGUUUUAACAGAGGCAAAAAAGGAAACAAUUACUUGCCGAUAAAGGAGGAUGAAACAAACGGUGACAGAAAGAAGCAUCUAACUUAUCUUGGUUGGAAAACAAAGUAGGACAGUAGCAUUUCUAAAACGGUUGCAUUGAUUCAUAUUAACAGAGACAUUCUCUUGAAACAACAUUCGUUAAAAAAUGUAAUUUACUUUUAACAGUGGCAUUGCUUCAAUUUUCCGGCGGCAUUCUUAGAUUAACAACAGCAAAAUAGCUGUAUGGGACAUGCCAGCACCAUGUCCGUCCACACGUAUAAAUGGGUGAUGCAGAGUAUGUAGCCAAGCAGCAUAUAUGCGCUGGUCCCAUAUUUGUUCUCUUUGAACCUUCUUCCUAUGUGAGGGCAGCAAAUCUAGUCCUGCACAAACUACCCGACCCCCCAGUUUCUUUCCCUUUUCAACAAAGAGAUCGGUUCCUUACAGAUGUGUGUACUGGGUUACCUCCUUUUUCCCUUUUCGACCUACAAAGCAGCUGGAUAGCCAGUCUAUACUACUUUCCGCCCCUCCUUUCCUCAUUGAACCACGUCCUAGAUUCUUGCUCCAGCCCACCGCACCCUUCUUUCCUCUUUGAACCAAGACCUAGAUUCGACUACAGAUCAAAAAAGAUCCACAUGCAGCUAGAGCAACGACGGUUUCAAAGAAACUUAUACCUUAGGGUCGCCGGGAUGUGGCAAGGCGUGCGGCGGGAGGCCGGAUCUGCCCACACUACGUACGGCAGCGAGGAAGAAGGGGUCGGUGGCCCUCUCGCAUAGGCGCUGGGUGAAAGAGAACAGCGCAGCCGACAGUGGAUUGCCUCCCUCGCCGAAGGCGAUAGAGUGAACGCUGCACCUCCUCCCCUUCCCGGUGCGACGGGAUACGGACGCCUCCUUCACCAGCUGUGAGGGGGGAGAGAGAGACAAGAGGCCAACACAGUCUUGUUUAGAUCUGGUGAAGAGAGGGUGAGAGACUGUGAAUAUAGCAAACCCUAGCAAAUGAACGCUGAGCCUCCAGCGUGUAACAUAUAUGGAGAGGGUGAGAGAGCGAGACGCGAGAAACUCUAUCAAACAAGAGGCUAUAAUGGAGUAAAAAAAUCUCUCCAUAGCAGUGGUUUUAAAUAGAAUACGCGCGUUCCCGGAAAAAAGAAACGAAAUCUGGCGGACAAUUUUUUAAGGGUCUGUCUAGGACACAUCUAGAUGUGACAUAGUUAUGUCACAUCUAAGUUGAUGUCCACUCUGUUUGUGGUCUAUUUUUUUCCUAGUUUUUUUGUUUCUUGUUGCUACAUUAUAUACUUGUGGGAGCUUAGGUGUGAUAUCCUUAAAUAACAUCUAGAUGUGAAUUAGACAAACUGAUUUUCUAAUGUACCAAGAAAGAAAACUCGAUCAAAAACACGCCCCCGCUUCCAGGUCGCGAGAGUCGUCGCGCACACACACAUAGACAUAGACAUGCAUAUCCGUGUUUACGUAAAAUUCCAUUUCCAUCUCCAUCUCCAAUCAUAUUUGUCCAACUGGCACAUUAUUUACGUUGUUAAUUAUGUACACAACAAUAUUAACGUACAAAAUCUCUUAUUUGCGCACGUCCGGACCGCUGCCACGGCCGGUCCUGACCAACCCGAACCCUCUUCAUCACCCGCGCGUGCUUCCCGCCCGAAACGGUCAGUGCCGCAUUCAUGCCCAGCCAGAGCGGACGCGACCUCUCACUGGCGCCGGCAUUGAAGCGGCGCGCCGGCCGAGAGAGCGUCGCCCACGCCGCUUCCGGGUGCACGCGGCUGCUCCGCGUUCAAAGGUCGCAAUAGCCGGCUACAACAUGCAUGUAAAAAGUUCUUGGGAGUCCGUGCUACAGCUAGCUAUCCUCCCCCAACUCGUCAAUCUCUUCCAGUAGUGCUAGUACUCCAUGGCGCGAUCCAUCGACAAGCAGGCAGGAAAGUUAUCAUAUACUCGGUUUGCGGUGAGUGGCAUGCCGAGCGACCGUGUGGGGUCGAGCCGUGGAGGAGGGUGAGACACGAACACGACAGACGUGAUUUAAACGUUGGUUUUGCCGAUGGCGCGAUCCAACGAAACGAAACAUUGGUUUCUCUCUGUUUCCACUUUUUCUCCGGAAAAACGGAAACUUUCCACUCCAUUUUCAUUCCUAUUCCAAGGUUGCCCCGUUAUAACAUUCCAUCAAAUACAAAGGAAAACUAACAUGCAUGCUGAUGCAUCUCAAUGAUUCACAGAUCAUAGCCAAUAUUUACUUCACAACUAAAGAAAAAAGUUGUGAGAGCGUGUACGAAAGAAAAACUACUGAUGGGGUCACUACGACUUAAACCCUAAACCCUAAACAUGAUUUAAUUUCCUGGCCAGGUAGAACCUGUCGAAGGAAAGACGGCUGGCACCCUCGGAUCAUAUGAUGCUUUUGUGCAGUUCCACUAAAAUCGACCUGAGCAUCCCUGAUGGCAAAGAUAUUAAAGAUGUGUGAUUAGAAUAAUAGUACUGGCACUAGUUCAUGAGACAUAAACUCAUCACAAGUAGAAGCCGGUAGAAGUAGAGAAAGAUCAACAUGGAGAUGGAGCUACGGCAGUGGAGCAAGCCGGCUCCAAAAGGAAGAUGGACUACCUGGGACGUCGGGCUGUAGCUAGAAGGGCGGUUGGGACGCGGCAUCGGCCCAUACCGUUGUGACCCCCGAUUGGGACGCACCGACUGUGGGUUUUCUCCCUCGCCGAUGUCGACCGCGUCUACGCAGAAUAUUGUUCCCUUCCCCCAGCUGCGGGAUCAGGCCCGUCGUUCUAUGCUUGUGAAGAGAGCAACCUAAGCAAGCAGGCUUGUAGCUUAGGCUCCCGCUAGUGUAUAUAUAGUGGUUUUCUUUUUCUCUCCAUAUCAACCAUUUUAUAUUGCGUACGUGUCAUUCAAGAGUGAAAUGAUGGUUGCUUCUUCCGACUAACUUACUGUGUGAUUUGACUGCUCCUUAGUGGCCCCUACACGUACCCCCCUACGUGUAUGCAACAGUCACACGUACACAUGGACGCAAAAACGCGCGCGACGCCCUAAUGCAUGCAUGUCCGAGCACACGACGGAACACACACGGUCACGCUCAAGUGCUCAACCUACACGUGCAUGCACACACAUACUCAGUCAGGGUGAGCUAGUGACCGUAUAAACACCGGAAAAUAUAUAUAUUGAGCGCAAUGAGCGUAUUAUGAAGUCCACUGACCGUAUUUUUACAAAUAUACAGUGACAGAUCAUGUAUUUAUCUCGUUUGAAAUUAAGCCAUAUUAACUGGAGAGGAGGCAGUAUGGACUAGCAUUACUUUGCUGUGUCCCGUCAACUUGCCGAACGAGGAGAAGGUUGCAGGACGGGAGAAGCUUGCGCGCGGUGGCUCGCAGGACAAGGAGAAACUUUUGACUAAUGCAAGCUCUCCCUCGCUCAGGCGGUGGACGUGCAACAGUUAAUUCGGUGUCAGAUUGCCAGAAGCAUACACUAUACUACUAGUGCUAUUAUUGUUCGACUUCCCGAAUAGGCGAACAGCCAAGCGCAAAGUUUACUAGUACUACUACUAUAGUCUAUAAAGGUACGUACUAUACUAGUACUAGGAACCGGAUGGAGGAGCGUUUGCACUCUUAUUAUAAUUUUAAAAUGUGAUAAAGCAAUCUUCAACACAUUUGGUUCUCUUCGAGGGUUCUCGCAUGUGAUAAUGGAAGUUGAUUGCAUGGAACACUCGCCACAAUUCUCGCUUAAUUUUGGCUCAUAUCCUGUUACAAAUAGUAGCGCUCGGUAAUAUUUCCUAUUUUUUUGUUAUUCAGCAUGUAAACAGGUCAGCAAACCUUGCGGCGCAUCUUUGUGCGAACCGUGCUUGCUGCACUUUGAAUGUGGCCGAGAGCUGGCUUGAUGAAACACCUCGCUUCCUACUUCUUUUUUUGCGGGGUACCUCGCUUCCUAGUGACCAGUGUCUUGGCUGAUCGUCCUAAGAAUGCUUAUAUAUGAAUAAAGCUCUCUCAUUUACCCGCAAAAAAGAUUAAGCCAUAUUAACCGAAAAGGAGGGAGUAUGGACUAGCACUACUUUUUGGUGUGUCCCGUCAACUCGCAGAACGAGGAGAAGCUUGCAGGACAAGGUGAAGCCCGCUUACGCCUUUUGACUAAUGCAACCUACCCUCGGUGGACAUGCAUCAGUCCAUUCGGUGUCAGAUUGUCAGAGGCAUACACUGUAGUACCCAACAUGCGGAGUACCAUCAUUGUUCGACUUCACGAAGAGGCAAAGAGCCAAGCGCAGUAGUACGAGUAGUACUACUACUAGAACCGCAUGGUGGAGCGUCUGUACUCUUAAUUUUUUUAUCUCUGAUAAAGUACAUGUUUAUUCCGGAGAAGGGCGGAAAAUGGCAGCCCAACAUGUAAUGAAUGAUAUCGAUCAACCAACCAUGCUCGAAUAUAUCUUGGCCUCCGUGCGAGCCCGUCUGUGUGUUCUCGCUCCUCGUCUCUCUCAAGGAACGGCGGGUUGGCUCUUUGCCAUCAAUUGAGAUCGGUUUGCUCACACUCCUGUCCCACAUGUCAGUGAUAUGCCAGGAGGAGGUGCGUUGACCGACUGGCCAUACGCGUACUUGGUUUUGCACCUUCAUACUACUUCUCCCUCCGUCACUGUUUACAGGGCGCGCUUCAUUAUGAUGCAUUUCUCUCAAUGCAUUUCCACCACCAGAGAGACUUUAGACGCGUUUGGUUUAAUGCUCAAUUAAUUAGGGCGUGGUAACCGCAAUCAAGUCCACAAUUUUAUCUCCAUGUACUGUACUACUACAGAGUGGAGUAAGUGCAUGCAUGUGUGUACCCGGGGUGGAAGCACUGCAUGCAUGUGUGUACGCAUUAUUCCCUCUAGUAAUAGACGCCGUGCUAUAACUACCAAUGCUAUUUUUCAGGCCGAUCGCCAGUCGCCUUGGUCCCACAGAUUUUUUUCUUUUUUCUGAAGCGCGCUGUAUAAACAGUGACAGAUGGAGUAGUGUGAGCGGAUUCAAAGAAGAGCGUAUUGAUGGUUGCUUCUUCAGAGCAACUUACAGUGGGAAAGGUGGAGCUUAUGAUUUGACUGCUCAUUACUCACUAUUAAUGCGGCGCAACGACCGGGCUGAGUCUCCCAUGCGGUUGUGCACUACCCCCUCGGUUCUUAAAUAUACUCCGGAGUAUUUGUCUUUCUAGCGAUUUCAACGAGUGACUACUCAAAUAUUUGUCUUUUUAGAGAUUUCAAAUGGACUGGCACAUACGGAUGUAUAUAGACAUAUUUUAGAGUGUAGAUUCACUCAUUUUGCUCCGUAUGUAGUCACUUGUUGAAAUCUCUAGAAAGACGAAUAGAAUAUUUAGGAACGGAGGGAGUACACAUACGAAGCAAAAUGAGUGAAUCUACACUCUAAAAUAUGCCCGUUUGAAAUUUGUAAAAAGACAAAUAUUUAGGAACGAAGGAGUAUAAUUUGUGCAUGGCACAUGAACCCGGAUGAUGAAGAGGCUUCUGGCAAUGCUAUGAAGCUUCCAUCAUUUGUUUACAUAAUUGACGUACUAUACAAAUAAUUUUCCAGUGACAUGAGAUUGUACAAUGGUGUGAGCUUUCAGCUUUUGUUUCGCGUGUCUUGCCAUCGAUGCUCUUUCGGAAACAAUAAAAAACUAAAUUCCUUGCUAAUGCAUGUCAAUUAUUAGCAGAUUAGAGCUAAUAAUUACAUCACAACUGAAGACAGAGUUGUGAGAAGGUGUUAAAUUAAAAUUGAUCCAUGCUUUCAUUGGCAGCAACGUCCCCCCAGCUCUGUCUAAAUCAACAAGGCAUGUUGGGAAAAAAGUAGCUGUCUGGAGCAUGCAACAUUCUGAUCAUUUUGUGUAGUUCCACUAAAAUAGAGCUGAGCGUCCCUGUUCCAAAGAUAUUAAGUGUGAUUACGAUAAUAGAGGGCUGCUGACGAAACAAUAAACACACAAAUAGAAGCCGGUCACCUUUGCAGUCUCUGUUAAGACUAACUAGUUGGAGAAGAUUAGGCUCGGAGUUGGAUGAGGAGGAUAGAGCAAAACCAAUCUCCCUUUGUGCAGUCGCACUGAAAUGUAGAGACGUUGCCCGUGUGACAUUUUAGUACAACUGAACAAAACACUCUUAAGAAAAAAGUGAUUUGUGCAGUUCACCAAAAGGUCACAACAGCAACGAGUAGAAAGGAAACAAUUACUGGCCAAUAACAGUUGAUGACACAUGCGACGACAAAAAAUAAACAUAUUCCUUAUCCUAAGGGAAGAUAACAACACGGUUGUGUUUGUCUAAAACGGUGUGAGGACGAGAAUGCAAUAUGGAAAGUACGCCGGACGAGCUACAUUUUGGGCAAAGAACUAUGGAAGAUCCACAUGCAGCGACGUGGGAAGACGGGCAGUGGAGCAAGGCCGGAGGGGAUACCUGGAGGUCGUCGGGAUGUAACUAGGUGAGCGGCGGCGGGCGGAAUCUGCGAGCAGGUGGCGUAGGCCCUGCCGCGCCGGAGCUUGGUCAGAGAGAACGGCGUGUACUGUAGAUCGGGACGUGCUGCCUCGGCGCCGUCAAACAGAGAAACGAUGCACUUCCUCCCUUUCCCCCAGCGGACGGGAUGCGGCCGGAUCAGUGACCAACGGUGAGAGAGAGAGGCCACCACACUCCCUUUCCCCCGGCGGACGGGAUGCGGCCGGAUCAGUGACCAACGGUGAGAGAGAGAGAGAGGCCACCGCAGCCUUGUGUGAGAUACUCUGAAGAGCGACAAACCAGGCAGGCAGGCUCCAUUGUAUAUAGUGAGUGGACUACCUUUUUCUCCAUAAAAAUCGUUUUAUAUUCUGUGUACGUGCCAUUGAGCGCUAUAACUUUAUUUAAAAAUAACGCGGCAACACAUCAAGUCGAACUUUGUUUCGUGCACGCGUGGUACACGACCUCCCUAGGUAAACAACCGCUAUAGGCGUUCAAAUUAUCACGUGGCCUGCCAUUUCGUAAAGAAAUGAGCUCCACCGUGUACCCGCGCGGGUGUGGCUGGGCAUGAAGCAUGAGUACGUGCACGGUGCACCUAUUCUCUUCUUGUAUACGUACACCACCUACGUGGGGUUGUGUGAGAGAGAUACAAACCUAGAGAGAUAUAGUGUGUGGGUUCUUGAGAGUUUUUUUGGGGGGGGGGGUCAAUCAAAAAAUGUAACAUAUGCAAUGUGUGUGAAAUAGAGUCCUGGAUAUAACAUAUAUAUAGAGGGGGCGAUCCACGAGAAGAGAGUGGAGGUAUCAUCGGCUUGAGGUGUCCAUAGAAUCGAAGAGAGGGAUGAUGUGUGUGUGUGCGCGCGCGAUCGAUAAAGAGUGCCAUCGAAUUUGUGUGUGCCCACGUCAAAGAUAUAGAGUGGCUGGCCUACUGGAAUGUGAGAUGGGACAUGUGCAGUUUGUCUCUGUGGCAUGGAUACCUACCUGCAGCGCUCGACUAUCGGUGUGUGGUGGGGGAAGAGGGAGGCCCAAUUAACUAUAGAGGUACAAUGGCUGGUAUAUGUGUGGAGGAGGAGAGAGGCCUACCUCAUGUAUUAAGGAGAUCGAUCUACCUCAUGUAUUAAGGGAGAUCGAUCGGCAUCCAUGCAUAUGUGCAGGAGAGGAAUAAGGUUGGGAGAGAGAUAGAGCUAGAGUGUUGGAGGGGGUGGUAGUGGAGUUGCUUCUAACAAAUGGUGGGAUAGGCUUGCUAGACAAAUGUAGGGCACGCCCGCAAUAUCAAUAAGAGAGGAGAUGGCUGCUUGUUGUCUGUGCACGUGCAUGUGAGAGAUAGGUCAGGAGGCAUGCACGAAUGAUGAGGGGGGACGAUGUGGCUGUGGUAAGCAGACGUAAAUACAUAGGAAGAUCAAUCGCCCUUUGUUAGAGAAAGGAGAGACAUAACUUGUGAGGUACGUCGAUCGAUGGGGGGGGGUAGUUAAAGUCGAUCUAGGUAUAUGUUGGGAGAUCGAUCGGUAUACAUGCAUGUGUGUGUUAGAAGCAAAUGAGGCACGAGGAGAAGGAUAGAGAGAGAGAGGGAUGCAUGUAGGAGGUGGUACGAGAGGCAUACUAUAUCGAGGGGGAGGAGUGUGCGAGUACGAGAACGAUGAAAAGAGUUGUGGGAGUGAGGCAUGGACGGUGACAAGAGAAGAGGGGAAGCUUGUGUUUGUGCUAGGCACACCUGGCUAGAGAGGCAUAUCGAUCGAUGUGUGACAUAAAGAAGGAGCUGGGGGGCCUACACACACUGUGGGUGAACGACCUAAAGUGAAAAGACGAAUUUGCGCGAUGGAGCUAGAGAAUGCUGAGGGAGGGUGAAAGAGAUGCGGGCGUGUGCAUGCACAAGAGAAAGUUAGCGCUAGCUACAAAGAUAAGAGGGUUGUGUGGGUGUAAAAGACGAAUAGAGAUCAUAUAUACUUCAUUAUAAAAAGCGAAUUCAGAUAUUUGAAGAAUUUAUCAUAGUGUUUCAAACCGACGCAUGUGUGAAUAUAUAUAACGGUGAUACACAUGGUGUGGUUAUGAACAUGUUAUACUACAUUUAAUAUAUUUUUCUCCACUCUUAUAAAAAAACGGAGUUGUUGAUGAUGGUGUGCCUGCCAUCCUGCAUUAUAGGCCGUCCGAUUUAUAUCUGGCGGAUAGCAAGGAAACUAUGAUGGUUGAAGUUGGCAACAAUCAUGAUUGUAGAUUCUUAUUGAAAUAGAGAAACGAAUUCAAAUGGGCGUAAUGAGAUUUUUAAGACCGCCUUUGACUAUUGACAAGAUUAAUAGUACAUGACAUGCACAAUGUGAAAAUUAUAUCAUUGAAAGAACCUUUCACAAACGAAUUUAACGGUGUGCUUUGUGUAAGUUGCAUGUCAUAUAUCAUUGCUCUAAUAUUUGGUCAAAGUUAGCAUCGAAAAACGCAUUAGGCCCUAUAUAGAUGGAAGGAGGGAGUAGCUUUGAAUAGCAUUUGUAUAGUAAAACGGGGCAAGACUCUCUCUUUGUGUGGUGUGAAUAGUUUUAUUUUUUUCGUUUUCUUUUUGGUUGAGGGAAGUGCGAAUUGAUUUGGUACGUACAAGUACAAUAUUACUACACGUUAGGCUUGUCCCUAAAAUUCAACCCGCGUCUUGUUAUAUCCCGAAAAUUCAGAUAUCGUGCUCCCAAAACUGGCGCCUUCACAACCCGCGCCUUCACAACCCGCGCCUUGCUAUCCCGAAAUUACAACGCGCGCGAAAACUCCCUCCAGCUGCCAAAUCCCGACACGCGAAAUCCCCCUUGUAACCCUGAGCCGAAAGGGCCGCUAGUUCAAAUCGGUGGGGGGUACUUUUGUAACACACCCUACAUUUUGGACAAGCGCGUCCCUAAGUCAUGCUUCACCCCCUCCCAUUGCCCCCUUUUCGCCAUUCGAAAUCCCAGGCCGCCAUAACCUCUCCGCUCCAGCCGCGAAACCCCACCCUCCUCCGUCCGCCACAUCACCGCUGCCCAGUCGGAGCCUCUUCCCCGACGACGUCGUCCACCGCAACAGCUCGACGUCCCUCGUCCACCUCCCCAGAUGUGGAUCCGUCGUCCAUCUCACCGUCCCGCCGGUUCAGCCGCCCCGUUCUCCACCUCCAAGGAGCUGCUCCGACGAUUGCCUCGUCUAUCGCGGCUGCUCCAUCCCCACAGCGCCGCCUUAACCUGCUCCACCGGAACCGCAACAUCCUCACCGACUCCUCGGACGAAGCCGAUGCCUACUUGGCGCCACCAAAGAGGUUGUACACUCAUCGCAUCGCACCUUCUCCUUAACUCGACCUCCCGGCGCCGACGGUGCUCCAUCCCGCACCCCCAUGGAGCGGCUACCUUGAAGCCGGCGCCGCGGGCGACAUCUCCACGGCGGCUCUCCCCCAGUGCGAGGCCCCUUUGGCGGCGGCGUCCAUACCAGCCGGAUCUGCUGCUGCUGCUCCGGCUCUCGCUCGCUCGCGCUGCUGCUGCUGCUCCGGCUCUCGCUCGAUCGCUCGCUUGCCCAGCUGCUGCUGCUGCUCUCCCCCUCGCUCGUGCUGCUGCUCUGCUCCGAUUAGGCCACACUUCAGUCNNNNNNNNNNNNNNNNNNNNNNNNNNNNNNNNNNNNNNNNNNNNNNNNNNNNNNNNNNNNNNNNNNNNNNNNNNNNNNNNNNNNNNNNNNNNNNNNNNNNNNNNNNNNNNNNNNNNNNNNNNNNNNNNNNNNNNNNNNNNNNNNNNNNNNNNNNNNNNNNNNNNNNNNNNNNNNNNNNNNNNNNNNNNNNNNNNNNNNNNNNNNNNNNNNNNNNNNNNNNNNNNNNNNNNNNNNNNNNNNNNNNNNNNNNNNNNNNNNNNNNNNNNNNNNNNNNNNNNNNNNNNNNNNNNNNNNNNNNNNNNNNNNNNNNNNNNNNNNNNNNNNNNNNNNNNNNNNNNNNGGAGAGGUACCCCACUAUCUAUCUUAGGGUUCAGGGUGGGGGGCGGGGGGCCUAGAGGGCUGGCUGGGGCGGCGGUGGCGAGUUGUUUCGGGGCGGCGAGGCGGCGCUGUGGCCGGUGGUUCGGCCGGUGGUGGCUGGCGGCUCAGGGGGGUGCAGGUUGAAGAUGAACUGCAGGCCCUCCGUAAACUACAUGUCAAGUGCCUCUCUGCUACCAUUCCGUUCAGUUUCGACAGUAGCAUUCAGAUUCCAAAGUUAACUUCAGAAUCAACAGUUUUUACCUCAUCUGUUGUAGUCAGGUGGUUUUUGGUGAUGUUAAUUUUACAUCCAUUUUACAUCAUCUAUUGGAGAUGCUAUUAGAAUCCCACUUGAGAUUGACAAUGUCUGUCUUGUGCUGCUUCAGCCUUGAUAUCUUACGGCUCACCGGAGCUGCUCCAACGACAAAACGAUCCAUCACAACAGAGCAGUGCCCUGGACGCCGUCUACAGAUUCCUCAGAUCUUCCUCCACACCUCCGACAGCCACCUCUGCCUCAACUGCUUUAGCGACCAACCCAAUGAUGCUGAGGUCGACACGGCUACGGCAAAGAGGUUGUACACUUGUUGCAUCACUUAUUACUAUACAUUCACGUCGAUCCAUUAGGGCUAUUUUGGUUCAACGGAAAAACGUCGAUCCACUGGUUGUUACCAUCACUCUAAAUUUCUGCAUGCUCUCCUUACAUAAUCUCACCAUAUUUUUUUCGUAUGCAUGUCAGAUAUUGUACACAGUCAUGCUGAACAUGUAGAGAAAAAGAGAAGAGUUUUGCGCGGCGAUACAAUGUCAUGCAGACAUCGCUCCAUGGUGGGUUCAAUGGCAAACCCUCCCCACCCCUCUCCAGAUUGUAAUCCAGAGGAAGAUAUCUGUUCUGAGGCGGAUUCAGACGCCGCUGACCACUCCUAUUUACCCCCCAAGGUGUUUGCUCUACCUUGGCAUGAUGAUGUUAGUCAUAUCAUGCAUAUGUUGCCUUGCAGUGCCUACUUUUGACAUCAUAUAUGUCAUCUGCUUAGUUUAGACAUGUUCUGGAAUGCCACCUGUUUAGUUUCUAUAUCAUAUAUGGGAAUUAUGCAGUCUCAUGUCUUUUAGCCAACCAUAAUAUAUGUGAAAUGUGCAAUGCCAUCCUGUUUAACCAGGCAUCAUAUAUUUGAAUGAUAUCUUGCCCAUCCUUUUCUUCAUUACAUUUCCAUUUGUCGACAAUGUUUGUACAUUAAACUACUCUUCCUGUGAAUCAGCCAUUUGGGUGGGAGAUGGAAAAAUCUGGAGUGAAAACAAGGCCUUCAGAGCAGACAGUGCUACCUGUCGAAGCAGAUCUCUUGUUGGGUCCCGAUAGCUCCUCAGAGAUGGAUUCAGAGACAAAUGACCAGUCCUAUUCCCCCACUGAGGUGUAUGCUCUAACUUGGCACGGUUAUACUACUCAUAUCAUGCAUACGGUGUCUUGCAUUGCAUAGUUUAGACAUCAUAUACACAAUAUUCAACACCAUGUUCUUAGUUCAGACAUCAUAUCGAAUGCCCUCUGUUUAGCAUAUAAAUCACAUAUGUGAAUUAAAUGAUGCGAUCCUGAUUACUCAGAUAACAUGUUGGUGAAUUAUGUCAUGCGAUCCUGUUUAGUUAUUCAUCAUAUCUUUGAAUUAUGUUAUGCUAUGCUAUACAGUUUAGAUAGACAUCAUAUAUGUGAAAUUAUGUCAUGCUAUCCGUUUUAGUUAAACAAUAUACAUGUCAACUAUUUCAUGCCCUCUUUUUUUCCACACUACCUAUUGCAUCUAUCUCUCAUACAAUGUCUGUACAUUCAACUAUGUUUCCUGUUUAUCAGCCAUUUGAAUUGGAGCGGGUGAUGCCAGUAUCUAGCGGACUAAAAACACGGUCUUCAAAUAAAACAGUGCUACCUCUUGGUGGAGAUAGCACCCCGGUUGUACAUGCACAAGAACCAGCCCUACCACACAUAACCCAAACUCUCGCAGAUUGUACCCCUACUGCGAUGGACAGAGAACCAGCUUCACCCAAUCUAACCCCAACCCCAGCCGAUAGUAACCCAGUUCCUGUUGACACAGCACCAUCUCCACCACAGAGCUCCCAAACAAGAGCAGUUAGUAAGGCAGCUCCAGUGCCCAAAGGGCCAGUACUAUCACGACGAACCCCAACUCCACCAGUUAGUACGCCUAUUCCUGUGGAGGAAGCACAACCAGCUAGUCGUAGUUUAGCAUCUAUCGCAUUUGAUGUUGUUAAAUCGUAUGUGCGUAUCUUCCCAUCUUGGAAAUAUUAUACUGAAGAUGAAGGAAAAUGCUAGUUGCAGGUGUUUGUCCAGGAGUUAUGUGUAAGUAAUGUUAUUCAUGGCAAUUACUUUGCUUCGUCCCAUACAUCCUACCUCCAUGAUGGUUAUAAUACAGCAAAUUUUCCUAAUUUUCUCUAUAGAGAAGGACCGAUUUGGAAACUCAGGAUGAGGUAACCUGUGCUAAUACCUCUGCUAUCUUCAAGAAUGCUUGGUGGUAGUAACGGAAUUACCUGAAGAAAACGUACUUCACCGGCAAAGAAACUCAUCAAAUUCCCUUACGUUCUCCUGAGACCCAUUUACUGGACGAUGACUGGGAAUGCCUUCUUCUGUACUGGUCCCGAACCAAGAAUGUGGUAAGGUCUAUGAGCUCAUUUUCUAUUUUGAAGUAUUAUAUUCUUGCGUCUUACUGUACUGUGUUCAUGUAGAACAAGUGCCUAAACCUGAAGAACAAUUGUUCUAAUUUAAAAUUCCAUUGCUAUCAUAGUUCAAAAAAGCGCUAGGCAUUAAUUGUGCUUUUUGCCACCGCCUUGCGCUUUACUGACCAAAGCGCAUGCUUAUGCGCAGUUAUGCACAGAUUAUGCGUAGUUAUGCGCAAUGCGUUUUGCCAACGCCUACAGCCUAGGCGCGCUUAAGCGCUCGCUUAGGCACGCCUUUUUUAACAAUGAUUGCUUUGCUCUUGUAUCACUGUAUUUACUCAUAUAAACUUAUUUUUAAAUUGAAGGAUCCAAUCGAAACUCCAAUGGCACAACAGGUAUGUUCACGCAUGUUUCUUUAACAGGUUUGCUCUUAUCAAUAGCUCUAUUGAUUUCAAUUUCAAUUGUGUAUACAGUUGACUUUCAUAUCAUGCACAUUACUAGCAUCACAACAGAGCCAAUAGUGUUGUUGUACAUGUAGACCCAUGGUACCCAUCUGAAAUCUUGUUGUGCCGUGUAGUUUCCCACGCUUUGUAUUCUUUCACUGAUGCUUUGUCUUGAACUAAUAUGAUUUGAACCGUGUCUCUAUUUUGAUUUGGCAAGACAAUGCAGUGACCAUAGGACAUAUAUAUAUGUUUGUUUGAUGCUUUUAUUAUGUACUAGUACUUGGCAAUAGAAGACUUGGUAGUUUAAUCCUGUCCACCUUACUAACGAACUGGUUCACCGAAAUGAGUUUCAUAUACUAGUACAUGCUAAACUUGUUAUGUGUCUGCUUGUUUAUUCUUUUAGAAUGCUGACAGAAUAUUGGGGAAGAGUGCCUUAUUAAGCAAUGGUAAAGGAAGUAAUGCAAAUAAGGUUCAGGAUAGUAAGACAUCCUUGUUGGUCUCCAACAAAGCUGAAAACAGCUAAGGAAAACAAUCUUGAAGACAGUGAGACAACGCCAAAGUCCUGUCUUGGUGUAGUGUUUGAGUUACUGGCCACUACCGCUGGCACAAGGUAUUCAAACUUACUGUCUGAAUCAGUUCAGUUUCUUGAGUCUCAACCUCAAGCUGAAAGACAUCGAUCAGUUGUGCUGCGACAAGAAGCCGAAGGACCGUGGAAGUCCCUGGAGCAUUUAGAUGGAUACUUUCUGGUGCAGUAGCAAGCGUUGGAGGAUUUUAGCGCCAAACAGGACAAAGCUAAUCAGCUUGCUAAGCUUAUUGCCAGCAUGGUGGAUACCCAGGAUAACGUUUCUUGAGCUCUUCUGAAGUUGUUUCAGUUAUGCUCUUGUUUUGCUGCCGCAUUUAUUUGCACUGGUGGCCAAUUUUGACGGCCAGUGUAUGUAAUGUGCUGCUUUAUUCCCUAUAUUUGCACUGGUGGCGAACUUUGAUGCCCAGUGGAUGUAAUAUGUGUAAUAGCGGUAAUAGGCUAGCGUUAAUUGCUUGCUUAUUUAUUUCCUUAUUGUCUUGUCUAGUUGUUUGCUUGUAGUCACUGCAGUUCUUUUUCUGUUUUUUUCUAGUGGCCACAAUAGCCUAUUUUUGGUAACUAGGCCAAAAUAAUCAUGGCAACACACAGACUGUUGUAACCAUGGGCCUCCUGCAGGCCGUAUGAUCCAUGGGCCUUCGUCCGGCCGUAGGAUCCAUCGGCCUUCUAUACAGGCCUUAGGGUCCAUGGGCCUUCUACGGGCCAUACGAUCCAUGGGCCUUCUACGGGCCGUACUAUCCAUGGGCCUCAUACGGGCCGUAGGAUCCAUGGGCCUUCUACGGGGCGUAUCAUCAUUUCACCAAUCAUGGGCCGUACUAUUCGUGGACCAUAACGGGCCGUUAAUAGGCCGUAUUUGAUAACUCUAUGAAAACAGCCCAACGGGUUUUUUUGACAUGAAAACGGCCCAACGUAUUAACGGUCCGCAAACGGGCCGACUGUAACGACGGGCCGAAUUUGGCCCACAAGCAAAAAAUGACAGUAACGGGCCGUAUGUAACCGAAUUGUGCAAAUGAACCCAAGAAUCAAUGGGCCCUGAGAAGGCCGAAAGAUAACUUGGGCUGGAAACGGCCCAAUGGAAUAACGGGCCGUUAAUGGGUAUAAAGUGAUACACUGUUCAUUACGGGCCAGUUUCACCACGGGCCGUUAAUGGGCCAAGAGUUACAAAGGUCCUCAUAUGGGCCGAAAGAAGUCAUGGGCCACACAUGGGCCGGAAGUUAAAACGGGCUGAAUCAUAUUGGACGGCCCAGAUGACGCUACUGGGCCUAAUUCGGAUAGGGCGUAACGGGCCCUAGGUUAGCGGGCUGUAAAUGGGCUAUAUGCGAACAUGCCGUUAACAGGCUUUCCGUGGGCCGGCCCGCCACCUUUUGACCAAGUCAAACGGGCCACCUUUUCACAGGAAUGGGCCUCUGUUGGGCCGUGCCACGUGUCGCCGUAUCAUAGGCGCCUUCGGUCCAAUGAGCGGAUGACAUCUGUCCCAACGGUGAGCCGACACGUGUUUCCUCUAGCCAAUGAUGAUUUUACACGUGGAAAAUCCCCAUUGGUCGGGGCUGUUAACGGGUUAUCGGAUCCAAAACCCGACCCGAUAGCUUAACGGCGUUCCGUUACGGUGGAUGCCACGUGUCGGUCACCCUUGACGAAAGCACUUCUGUGACGCGCGAUUUAUCGUCAUGGAAGUGGACACUUCCGUGAUGAUAAUUUUGGUAAUGUCAUGGAACACUUCUACGACAGCACAAGUAUGACUAUCUUGAUUCUGUCAUAAAAUCGUCAUGGAUGUACAUGCAUGACAAAAAAUGCGACCUACUGUGACAAACACGUAUCAUCAAGGAAGUGUAUUUUUUUUGUAGUGCAACCCCGUGGGCAUGACCCGCCACGUGCUAAUAAUGAGGCUCAAGCUUUAGUGGAUCAGGCUAGGGCACGUCGGGAGGCGGAGUUGGCGGCUCAGCAGCAGCCUCAGCGUAACCCGUCGGUGUCUGUAGAAGCUGGGAUGACUUCUAGGACCGUGGGUGUGCCGUGUCUGGUGCCGGCUUUGCGUAAUGAGCUCCUGCCCAAGGAUUUUAAGGGUCCCUGUAAGGUGCCCAAUUACACAGCGGGUCAACCCCCGAUGGCUUGGAUUGAGAGUUAUGAGCUAGCCAUGGAGAUGUUGGACGUCAAUGACUGUGUGCGCUAAGUAUUUCACCAUGAUGUUGGAUGGGCCGGCUCGCACCUGGCUAAAA